AGUUUACUUAUGUAUAUCAUGAUAGAAUUUCAAUUGAUAUGUAAAAUAAAUAGAGAAAUAAAUACAUACCAAAAUCCAAGAUCAUAAUAAAAUAAAAUAACUCACAGAGCGCCAUAGAGAAGAAAUUCUUGAUCAAUCUUGCGAAAGCGUGAAGUCCGGCUAUGAUUUGAAAGUCACGAACCGAACUUAGGUGAUUUGGUUUCUCCUCCUAUCUCAGGCACUCUACCGUAUGGUGUGGAACCGAUGGUAAUUCUUCACCAGAAUGCGUAUGAGAAGUUGACAGGACUAAUACCCCUUUAUAUAGAGUCCAUAUCGACUUCUCAUUAAAAUCUGAUUAGGAUUCUAUUUAAAUUUAAAAUAGAUGGGAUAGAGAUAAAAUAUACCAUAUCAAGUAGUUCUAAAUCUGUUAGGAUUGACCUUUAUCUAUAGCAAAUCCUAAUUUAAAUAUGAUUAAUUGGACCACAAUAUAUAAAAAUCCUAACAUAUCAAACAAUGUGAGAUGGACCCUAACUGGCAACACCACCGACGCUGCUCUGAGAUCAAAAUGUCUAUGUCACCUAGCUGGACUCUGGUGGAUCGUGUGGACGGAAAGAAAUAACUACAUCUUCCAUGCAAAGUCCCACAAUGUUCUUCAUUCUUCCGAAAGGUUGAGAUUUUUGUUGUCUGAGUGGUCCGCGUAUAUCUGAUUUUUUUUUUUUUUUUUUUUGCUUGACUUUCACCUCUCCGAAAGUUUUAGCUGCUUCCACCCUGUAUUGCUUAGUUCACUUUCACUUAAUGAAUAAAGCGGGUAGCUUGCUACAUUUUCUCAAAAAAAAAAACAAUACGAGAGAAUCUGAAUGACUUAUAUGCGGCAGACGUAUUAGAAUUAGCAAUUAAAUUUAACAGGCUGUUAAUUUGGGUCUAAUUUGGCAUUAGACCAGCUCAUUUAUCAAAAGUGUAUGACGAAUUUCAAUGUGAGUGAUUUAUAAUAUGACGUACAGAACAAAAUAAAUAAUUAAAUAUUUUUUGGUUGAGAAUUUAGAACCUAACGAGUUAUUAAUACCGGUGGGCCCAUCGUUAUAAUUGAAAUAAUUUUUGAUACCUCAAUCUUCCUAUUCUAUGUUUAAACAGAAAUGCUACAAGAGAUUAUAAAAUAUUCACAUACAAUAAAAGGAAGAAAAUAAUACAAAGUGUUCAUCCAAAUAUAUAUUGUGUAAUUUACAUAAACAGAAAACGGUGGCCUGAAAUAACAGAGAACAACUUCCCACGAUGUACUAAAUUCCUACAACUGGGCAUGUAGGGGAUCCGCGACCCCAAAAUAUCACCACUACUUGUAGUCAGAAAAAAAAAGAAGAAAAAAAACUCUCAACGGGGAGUAGUAUAGGCUUCUUAUAGUCUUCUGUCUUCGUCGUUUCCAUAAUCAUUUCAUUUUUCCCUCGAUAAUCCCAACCCCACCCCCCUCUCUCUCUCUCUCUCUCUCUCUCUCUCUCUACUCGUUUGCGCGAAGCUGGCGAAGGAGGCGGAGCCGAGCCCUAGGAAACGCAAGGCCUCCACCACCACCGGCGGCGGCGGCGGAGGAGAAGGGCAGGAACAAGAAGCGAUCGCCGUCGACGACGCGGCGGCGGCAGCGGAGAUGCCGAGCCCUGUCCCUGAGACCGACCCCUCGGCCGCCGCGGCGGAGGGGCCAUCGAGCUCCAACCCUAACCCUAACCCUAGCCCCAGCGCCUCCGUCGACGCCAUGGACGCGUGGCACUGGGACGAGCGCUCCUGCUGCGCCGCCGCCGCCGACGACGACGACGUCACGCAGCCGCAGUUCGCCGCCGAGGCCGCCAGGGUGCCCUACGUCGGCGACAAGGCGAGUAGUCGUAGGCUCCAAAGAUUCGCUUUAUCCGUCGUUUUUUUAUGUCGCUUUCUUGAUCGGGAUCUUGCCAUUUUUAGUAUAGUUUUCGAUGGAUCUUCGGUAGAAUCUGUUUUCUCGCUUCUCUUUCCUGGAAUCGGUCGCGGAGAUGUUGUUACUGGAUCGAAGGGACGCUUAAUGCGGUUAGGAUUUUUAAUCCUCUAUCCGGAAUGGAUCGAAGAAUCUCGCCCUUAGGGUUUGAUUCGGUGACGAGUGGCACAGUUGUUACUAUUUCUAGGAACUGUUUUGGAUCUUGUUGAUACUGUUUUAGUAGUUUCGUCAGCUUCGGCAAUUUCUUCUUUUUCCAUUCUUAUUUGGGUUUCAUCUUCAUCAUCAUCAUCUUCUUGGUAAAUUUCAAUUUUUAAGGAACAUGAACUGUAGAAACUGCUAGGGAUUCACAUGGUUUAACCCGAUUGUUUUUUUCUUUCUUUUUUGUUUUCUAAUCUUGCUUGAGAAAAUUUGGCGAAACCAAGAAACUCAAAUUCUGUUGAUCUUAAUUCAUAAGAUGAUUCUGUUACAGUCUGUUCUGUUUUUACCAAGCCUGCUUACCUUGACUAUAUAUCUGCAGAGAAUGUCAGGCGACAGGUUUUUGUUAGUGAAUUAGGAAUAUGCAUACAUCAAAAUAAUAUACAACUUGCUGUUUUACCUACAGUUUUGUCAGAAGAUGAAGAAUAUUGAAGUCUGAGCAUUAAAUUGCUUACAUCUCUUGUAUAGUUGCUCAUGUAGAAUGCCUGUGACAUUUUCAUAACCAGACUUGAAAUGUUAAUGUAGGUAUUUAAUAAUAAAGAAGUCUAGAUUGAAGAGAUGUCAUGUAAACUCAGUAAUUUACUUUGACACUUUAACUAGUUUUCUAAAUAUCUAGUGGUAGUGUAUUUUUGCACUUAAGCAUAAAAUAGUUAGGUCCUGUGGUGUACUUUUUAUUAGACAAGCAUAAAAGAAAGCACCCAACUGUGAAUUUGAUUGGUGUAAACUCAUUUGUUAUCAAGUCCUUUGUGCUUGUAUGGCUCAGCUCUCUGUACUUGGGAUUUGAAGUGAGUCUGAGGAUAAAUAUUUGUUUGACUUCUUUUAGGCCUAGCUUUUUGUGUGUAACUUGUUAAUAGGAGGAUAUUAUUCGUCAUUCCGAAAAGAAAUAUUCGUCUUGGUUCUAUGUAUCAUUUGCCCUAAAACUGGGAAGCUGCUUACUGCUUCUAGCUUCAACAGUAAAUUGUUGGAUAUUUUCUUAUGAGCAAAAUAUUAGGGCUUCUGUGAACAACGUAAUUGAACGGCAUUUCAGGAAAAGCGUGAGGUGGGCCAAACAGCUGUAGUUGUGGUCCUUAUGGAAUAAAGCUGUUUCUAUUUUAACAUUCUACAUCUUGUUGUCGUCAUAGAUAUCUUUGAACCAUCCCUUGUUUGUUAAAUGGUUCCCAGAGGUUUCGGAUGGGACUAACAUUUCAUCAGUUUAUUUCUUGUUAACGAGUCAUUAUGUUUGGUGUUUAGUCAUGCCAGCACUUUGUGAAGGCUAAACUUUAUUUUUACUUUUAGUUAGAUCUGCAGAUUUUCGUGUGUUAAUAUCUAUUACUGAGAUUGCUGCUUAAUCAUACGAGAUAACAAUCGUUGCCUUUAAUGGAAAGAAAGUUCUAUCUGCAUUAUUAAGAUUGUGCUAUUGAUACAGGAGCCUCUCUCUGCUUUAGCAGCAGAGUAUCAAUCAGGCAGCCCCAUUUUACAGGAGAAAAUCAAGGUAUGAUUGCAAUUUCAAUAGAUGCUGUUGCUUGAUUACUGGUGGUCAAUCAAUUUAUUAAUUCAUUUUUUUUCCUGUCAUUUCUUGGCAUUUCAUCUUGCAGUUGCUUGGCGAGCAAUAUGCUGCAUUAAGGAGAACCAGGGGAGAUGGGAACUGUUUUUACCGAAGUUUUAUGUUUUCCUACCUGGUAGUUGAUAAAAUUAAGUCUUGAAAAUGAUUUUCCUAUUCACAAUCACAGCUUUUGCAGAAGGUUUGCUAUUUGUAAGCUGGUAAAAGGUAUUCGUGACAAUUUCAUGAUAUAGGAGCAUAUUUUGGAGACGCAAGACAAAGCUGAGGUUGAUCGCAUUCUUGUGAAUAUCGAACAAUGCAAGAAGACACUUCAGAGCCUUGGAUAUGCUGACUUUACCUUUGAGGACUUCUUUGCAGUAAGUUAUUCUUUAUAAUCCUGGUUUUUGGUUUAUUUUCUAUUUGAGUGCUUUUUGGAUAUACUAUUACCAUUUGUGAUUGUAGUUUGAUUUUUUUUUCCUUGAUACUUGUUCUUAACAAAUUUGUAUACUCAACAAGAAUAACCCUUUUUUAACAAAUGUAAAACAUCACUUUUGCACUCCCCUGGCAAAGCACCGCUCACCCCCCUACAUCCUCGUCCACCCCAACCAACGCACCCACUUCUCUUUUCCUUCCGCACCCACCCCCCCUCCCCCCCUAAUUGGUGAAUCCUUGAACAUGUAAUGGCUCACUUUGUUACUGCAUAUAUUAACAUUUGUAUCAAAAAUCUCAUAUAUUUUGAUAUUACUAUGCAAGCAUGCAUAAAUGUCAGAUCAUCUCAUUAUCUGUUUUAUUUGUCCUUUAUUCCAUAAAAUCCAAACCUUGGCCUCUUUCCGCUUUAUUUAUUGCGAGUAUUGUGCUAUAUUACCAACGUCAUCAUCUGCAUUGAUUAGAAAUAUCUCAGAUGAAACAGAGUCUGAUUUAUUGGGUUUUUAAAUUUAAACAAGUUAUUCUCCACUAGACAGUUCAAUUCAUAUUUUGCCUCGAAAUCAUUAUUUUGUUCAACAUUAAUGUAAAAUAUUAUUGCUUUUGUUCUUGUCGUGAAUUCUGAUAGCCCUGAGGAUAUUUUCAGAUUUUUAUCGAGCAGCUAGAAAGUAUUCUUCAAGGGAAUGAAACUUCAAUCAGGUACAUAGCCUUUGCUGACCCUUAUUUUUUCCUUACUUUUUUCAAGUUCUUUGGUUAAAAUAAGCAUUACAACUAUGUAUUAUAGUCUGGUUAUUUGGAGAAAUGAAGUCCUAAUAAAUUUCAGUUGACAUCUAUAGUGAGGAGGAGCUCUUGCAGAGGAGCUGUGAUCAAAUGAUUUCUGAUUAUGGUAAGAAACAUCAGUAUUACUCAUGUCAUUCAGUUUGUCCUUUCAGAUUACUCCCUCAACUUAUCCCCUUUUGAUAAAAUUUUCUGUGCAGUGGUAAUGUUCUUCAGAUUUGUCACUUCUGGUGAAAUUCGUAGAAGGGCAGAGUUUUUCGAACCAUUCAUUGCCGGCUUAACACAUUCAACUGUUGAUCAGGUUAGUUUUGCUUCUCUCUUCUCUACCUUGGGUUGUAUACUAUGCCUCUACUUCAUUUGUUAUUUAUGGUGAUAAUCAUACCUGUUAAUUUCUAGUUUUCUGUCAUUUGGCAAUUAUAACUUAAUUGCUGGUUUUAUUUUAUUUGGCAAUAAUAACUAAAAAGAAAACACCAGAAUUCGUCAUUAUAGGAUCCUCUCUUUUUGUUCACUGAGCUAGUGUGGCAGAUAGUACACAAAAAAAAAUUGUUUCUCGUAAAUAGAAGUUAUAUAUGCUUGCCUCAAUGGAACAAGUAUGUAAAGAAGAUAGCGACAUAUGGAAAACCUUCGACUAUAUAGGCCAUUGCGAAAUGGAUGCCCUGAAACUCUCUCUAUUUUUUUCCUUGAUUGACACCCACUCAACUUUUGAUCAUUUUGACUCGAAUUAUUCCUUCGGUUGAGCUGAUAAUUUUGCUAUGGUUAAUGGCUGCAAUCACUAUUUUAGUAAAUUGGCUGUGUCCAAUCUGCCUAUCUGUUGGUUUUCAGUUCUGCAAAGCCUCGGUGGAGCCGAUGGGGGAGGAGAGUGACCACAUCCACAUCACUGCUCUGUCAGAUGCCUUAGGUGUGCCGAUCCGGGUGGUGUACCUUGACCGGAGUUCGUGUGACGCGGCCAAUCCGACCGUCAACUACCACGACUUCAUUCCUUCCUCUAACCCUCGAGGUGCCAUAUCUGAGCAACAGGACAGUAUUGAAUCCAGUGCAAGACAACAGACAAAACCCUUCAUAACCUUGCUGUAUCGACCUGGCCAUUAUGAUAUCCUCUAUCCCAAGUGAUCCCUCCAACGCAAAGGUUGUUAUGUUCAUGUGUGCGUGCGCAUGGGUCUGGGUGUGGGUUCUAAAGUUUUGAGGCAAUGCGUCGAAAGUUGAAACUAAUUGGCCGGUCAUUUUGAAUAUUCAUUUUUUUCCUUCCUUUUUUUUUCUUGGAGUCCGAAUCCUUUUUACAAGACGAUGCGUUGUCUCAAGAAAAGAGUCACCCUGAAACAUUAAACUCUGUAUUUGCGCAAACCUCUCUUUGAUAACUGUAACCUUCUUCUAGUCCGUGUUAUUGAGCAUUCACUGUUCCUAACAUGCUUUCCGAUUGAAUUUGCCUCUCAGAUUGCUUAUCUAAAUCUGUCGUGAUCAAUUCAUUUUCUGCCUUUUUCUUAUAACUCAAACCCGAAGUUGAUUUGCCAUUCGUCUGGAAGCGUCUCUUGCUGUUGAUUUGCCAUUCUCCUGGAAACAUCUCUUGCUGUAUUUUUCAGCUUCUUUGAGAGCUUUGGCACCGUUUCGAUUUUCAUGUGUGGGCGGCGUUUGUUUCCUCCCACUGUAUCAUAUCGGUAUUCAUGGAUCGGAACCGGGUGAUGCAGAUUUUGUGAUGACUUGCUCGUUGAAACUUUGGCCUCCAGAUGAGCGAAGCUCGCUCGCACGUGGCGGCAGGCUUGUUUUAGCUGGCCGAGAUUAAAUUUGGCUUGCUCGCGGCUCAACGUCUCGAGCUCGAAUAGUGCUAGAGCACAUUGAGUGUGGGUUCAGCUUGUAGAAACUAAACCGAUUUAGCUUCAGCUCGACUCAUUUAGCUAAUCAAGCUUCACACUCCAGGCUUGAUCACCGGCUACUACAAUGAGUGAGCACGAAGCUCGAUUUGAGCCAAAAUCAUGUUGCUUUGUCUGCGCCGAUGUGCAGGGUAUGUCUAGUUUGCCAUCAGGAUUGCUAUUGGACGCAUCGCAGUUCGAAACAGAACCAGAAUCAGAACAGCGUGUCACAGCCUUCCGCCUCGAAGAUGGACGUGCCUAACUCUAUUUUGCUAGACCGAACCUCGACAUCUUACGGCUAAGUAUAUAGAAAGCAGAAAAGAAAGAGAGACAGAAGAGAAGAGGAAUUGGGAAUGGUAGAUUGUUCACUAUAUAUCGAUUUUAUCAUUGCAUUUGGCUUUUUUUCAAGCAGGUUUUUUGGAACGAAUUGUGCGCGCGUAACAGCGUCGGGUUCUCGGUGCAAAGAAACUAGAACAAAAAGAGAACGAUUCUUUUUGUUUUCGGUGUGGUCCUCCAAUUGGGACCGUUCGAUUCAGCGGUUCACAACCGCUGGAUGGUCCUUAAAAUGUACGGCGACUACUUCAACUAUUUGCAAUUUUUAAAAUGGUCCUUUCAAUGAUGUCUUUUUUUUUUUGACACCUCUUAAUUAACUAUUAUUAUUAUUAUUAUUAUUUUAAUUUGAGUUGUUUUUAUUAGUUUUGUGAAAAAUUUUGUUGUAUGUACUAAAUAUAUUCUAGUUUUGUCUAAAAAAAAUUUGAAACCACUAAACUUAAUACAAUUAUUAAUAAAUCUAAUAAUAUUUUUUAAUUUAUUUUUCUAAAAUCACUUCAAUUUUAGAAAAUUAAAAAUUGAGAGACUUCUAACUUAAUAAAAGAAUUGAGGGAGUUGUGUUGCAAUGGUCUACAGUUAAGGGGGCUUCGAUACAUUUUUACCUUAAUUUAGUCAUCUAAAUUAGAAAUUUUAUUCAAAAUCAACAUUUAUACUAACUGAAAAAGUAAUAAAAAUUUUUAAAUUUAAGAAAUUUUAUUAUAUUUAUUUUUUUAAAAAAAUCUUGUUAUAUUGAUAUGAAUCAGAUUGUUUGAAAGAUGAGGGAUCCCGAAAGAAAAGUUUUGAGAUAAUUUCAAAAUAUCCUAAACUUGUGGGCCCUGCAUGCAUUUUUACCUUUUUUUUAUUUUUUCUUUUUCUAUUUUUCUCCAAUUCCACCUCCUUCUCCCUCCCCUUUUCCUUUUCCCCUCCCUUUCCUUUUUGUCCCUCUCUCUCCUGCGACUGUGGCUUCAUCACCUAUUCGAAUCCCUUCGAUUCCCCAAAUUCCAUUCGAUUAAUCCCGAUCCCCCCUCUUUAAUCGCACCAACUCGCCUUUUGCCACCAGUUUUCUCGAUUUUUUUGGACAUUUUUAUAGCUUAGAUGGAGGUGUAUGUAGAAUCUCGAUGAACAUUGCUUAAGUGAGAGCGAGAGAAUCGGCCCCAUAGACGAUCAGAGCCGAGGAGUUAGAAAAUACGUGCUUUUCACGACUAUUUCGAUCCGUCGGAGCUUCGUUUCAUGAUUUCUGAGAGGUUAGGUAGGGUUUUUGAGCUUUGAUGAGGAUUGGGUGUGAAAAAGAGGGAGAAAUCGCAGCUUUACCAUGUAUCUCUCUAAGCUGGAUGACUCUCCAAUGUUUCGGAAACAGGUGAGAACCUCUAAACUCAUCAGAUCUUUGGCUUUUAGCUUUUAUAAUGGUGAAUAGCUUGCUUUGAUUGCGAUUAUGGAUAAAAGAAGCUUCUUUUUAGUACAUUUUUGUGGUUACAUUGUUAAACUAGUCCAUCUGAUGUAUUGCAUCAAUUAAGAGGUGAUUUAAGUCAUUUAUCGCAGAUCAAGUUGUUACUUUAUGCAUUGUUGGCUACUAGUAGCUAGGUGCGAUUAAGGUCAGUGGUGUUAUUUAUUAUGAUCUCGAGAACUUGUUGCUUUGUGGUGCAAAUGUGCAAUGUGAGGAGCUUGGUGCUUAUCUCUAUGUUGUCCAUGUUUUAACUAUACUUGUGUGUUUUAUUAUGAUUAUUGGAUCAUGUGAUUUGUAAUGUUCGUUUUCGGGUUUUCCUUGGUUAUCUUGAAUGGUAAAUUGGUCCUUUUGCAUUGUUUGAUUAAAUUCUCUAUGUCAUUCUCUUACUAUCUGUAUAUGUUACUCUAAUAUGAUUGUCGCAAAAUGCUCGUGGUGUAAUUUAAUAACUCUACUUGGACAAAGGUCAAAGAAAUACAGGUUUGUCUCUUUCUGCAAAAAAUAUUGAUUGGGUUGUCUCUUCUUUGAAGCAGAUUCAAUCACUUGAAGAAAGUGCUGAGUCACUACGAGAAAGAUGUUUAAAGUUUUACAAAGGCAGUCGCAAGUACACGUAAGUCAUGAUAUUUGUUCCUUUGCAACUUACUAUGGGGCUCUUCAUGCUUGUCAUUCUGAAAAGCCUUUGGCAUGAGAAUCUAUAUUUGUAUAUUGACAAAAUUGUGCUACCAUUGCAUACGAUAUUAUGUCUUUAAGAGUCCAAGCUUAUAUAUUUGGCAACUUUGCUAUUCUGAAAAUUUUAUAACAAUCUGAUUUCUUUGAACAAACUGUGAGGUUUUCAGCAGAGAAAAAUGUCACUGCUGAAAAGUUUCAGUUUCAUCGAGUGUCAUAAUUAUUAUUUUAUUCAAGAUAAGUUCUUUUCAGAUUCAAUUUGAAACAUGCAAUAAACACAGUUAAUUUUCUUCCUAUAGCUUCUUAAUAAAUUUCUGAUAAUUUACGAAAUAAGAUAUUAGAAGGCACCAUUUUUUCUCUAAAUGGCGGAGGUCUAUGUAGGUAUGUGGCUAAAUAACUUUCAAAUAUUAGCAUUAUCUAGUAGUUUCACCUUUUCCUUUUCUACUACCAUUUUAAUAUUUAUAUAUUUACGAUUUUUGUACACAUAUAAAAACGAGUCCUAGUGUAUUCAUCUGUUUUUGGCUGUGUACCAUAAAAGAUAGUGCUUGCUCUUGAUUUGCAGGGAAGGACUUGGUGAGGGAUAUGAUGGGGAUAUUGCUUUUGCAAGUGCUCUAGAGGCAUUUGGAGGAGGGCACAAUGACCCCAUUAGUGUUGCUUUUGGAGGUUAGUGCUCUAUUGAUUGCACACACUGAUGAUGAGCAUAUUUUUGCUAUUUUGUGGUUGCACUUUGUUUCGUCACUUCUGUUUAUCAGUUCUUCCCUCUUGAACUUGUGGGAAACUUGUUUAAGGCAAUAGGUUAAUUACAAAUUUACCCUUUGAAGUUAGAAUGCUGCUUCAAUUUAGUCCUCAUAUUUUCAGUUAGAACAGUUAAGUCCCUGAAGUUCAUUCUGUGUAACAACUUACACAUCUAAUUUUCAAUUUCAACAUUUUAGUCCUCAUAUUUUCAAUUCUAACAAUUUAAUCCCUAAAGGUUUCUGCAUAACAACUAAGCCUUUAUGGUACUUUACAGUCUUGAUGAGUGCCUCAUUAGCAGAUUCAGUGUCAUCAUUAAACUUUGCUAUGCUAAAAUUGAAAUUUAAAGCAUGAAUUGAAAUUGGGGUCAAAUUGUAGUGAUUACUUGUCAAAAUUGUUCUGAGGAUGAACUCAAAAUGAAACUUAAGGGCUACAUUUUUGCAAUUGAAACUUUGAUGAUAAAACUAAAAUCUAAGUCAAAUUUCAGAGAUCAAAUUUGUAGUUAACCUGCGAUAGUAUGAUGCAUCAAAGCUUUCAUGUGUUUGUGUUGGAUUAAUUAAUUUUCCUUUCUUUUUUUUUUUUUAGCAUUUACCUCUAUUUUACAUAGUAUUGAGUAUGGUUCUCUCUCAAGUUUCUACUCUGAGCCUUAUGGACUGCUAUUUUAGAAGCCUUUUUGAACAGGAUGAAAAUAAGUGCUUUAUAAUGGUACAUAUUUCAUAGAAUUAUUUUUUUUGAGAGAUAUAUUUCAUAGAAUUCAAUUAUUAUUGUACCAUCAUAUAUAGGAAUUGAUUGGAAGAAUAGAAUAAUAGUCCAUUAGUUGGCUCUCAGUCACGCACCUUGGGAAUGUUAAUCAUCCUCGUUAUGGUAUUUUAUUUCAAGCUAGCCUUAUUUAACAAAAUACUCGUGCGGGAACUGUAGAUAUAUGAAUAUGUUGCUUACUACAUGGUUAUACCUUUUGUAGGACCUGUUAUGACCAAGUUUACAAUUGCCUUGAGAGAAAUAGGAACAUAUAAAGAAGUCCUGCGGUCCCAGGUAGAGUGCCAUGCUUUUCAUGUGGUUUGAGAAAAAGUUACUGGAUUUUUUUUUUUUUUUUUCACUUUGAGUUAUUUGUAACCAGAAACUUUGUUUAUGUGUUUGAGCUAAUGUAAAUUGAAGUAUUGUGCAAUGAUGGCUAUUUUCUUCACGUCUCUUUUCGUCUAUGUGAUAACCCAUGACGCUAACUUUCUACAUCAUCAGACUUUGAUUUCUCCAUAUGCUACAAUAUGAAACAUUUUACUUUCUUGCUACCUGGCAAUAAUCACGGUUGCAAUGUGCCAAUGUGCAGUGAUAAUGACAUGCUCUUUGAAGUAUACUCUUUGGAGGUAAAUAAAUGGAGUAUAAUUUUUACCUUGAUAUGUGACCAUUAAAAAAAAGGAGAAAAGGUUUGCACUACUACAUAUAUUAAAUUCAAGUAUUCAACAUAGUUUGUGUAUAAUUCUUUAUGCCUGGUUCAAUAUCCUAAUAAGUCAAUUAUUCCCUCUUUUUAGUGGUUAGACCGUUAGAAUAUGUUAGAAGUUGGAACUAAGAAUUGAAUUGGAAAGCAUAAUGUUAAAUGUCAUUACCAAAAUUUAUUGUGACUAACAAGCUGAAUACUUGUAGUAAUUAAUUACGACACUUUUAGCUGUUUAGUGCUCACUUCAUUCUAUGAGUUUAUUUAUUUUUGGCAUUUUAACACCAACACAGGGGCUGUUUGGUUCUGCAUAAAAUUGUGAAAAAUUGGUUUUAGUGAAAAAAAAUUUCGGAGGAAAAAGAGUUUUAUGCUCUUUGGUUUUUGGUUUGUUGGAAAAAAAAUUUAGUUUUCCAGCCGUAUUUGUUUGGUUUCGUAGGAAAAAAAAAAUGGAUGAAAAACUAUUUUAUUAUAUUUUUAUUAUAUAUAUUAUUUAUAUAUAACAAUUAUUAUACUAUAUAUAUUAUUAAUUUAUAUUUCUAAAUUAAACAUUCAAAAUUAUAUUAUAUAAUAAGCAUAUAAUAUAAUAUAUACUAGUUAUAUGGCCAUGGCUACUAUACUAUUAUGAGUAUUGGAGCCCUCGUGCUCAUAAGUUGUUUUCAAUAAUGGAGCUUCCGAAUCGAUGAUCCACUCCGUUAAAUAUGAUCUAGAGUAUUUGAAACUUCUAGAAAAUAAAUUUCGUAAAUUUUUGAAAUCAUAAUAAAGUCCAUCAAGUGGGCAUAAAAUGAGUGGUCAAAAUCGAACGACGUCCUAAAAAAGGAUGAUCGGAUCCUUCAAUUCAAGAUCGGAGUUAUUGAUCUUUAUCUAUGUAGUGAAUAGAAUUUUCUAUAAAAAAUUCAACAAAUUCCGAUUCAUUUAUACUGUUAAACUAGCAAGUAUCCCAUACCGGCCGUUAAAAAUUGUUAAAUUUGUGACCUCUUGAUCGUAAGGUAAAUGAUAUCGAAAAAUUAUAAAAUUUGAUUUCUAGAAGUUUUAAAUGUUGUAAAUAAUGUUUAACGGUGUGGAUCGUCGAUUCGGAAGCUCUAUCAUCGAAAACAACUUAUGAGUACAAGGGCGAUCGUACUCAUAAUAGUAUAGUAGCCGGCCCCCUAGUUAUAUAUUAUAAUAAAUAAUUAUAUAUUUAUGAAUAAUAUAAUAUAUAAUAAUAUCUAUAUACAAAAGUAAAUAUUAUAUAUAAUAAAUAAAUAUUAUAUAAAAUAAAUAAAUAUAUAUUUAUGACAAAUAAAUAUUUAUAUAUUUAGAAAUAAAUAAAUAUGUAUAUAUAAUGAGAGAGGUCCACCGUGGACCUCCCUCCUCCCUCUCAGACGGUCCACGAGGCUACUUCACCUCAUGGACCACGUAAAACUACCGCUGUGAGCAGCGUAUGUGAGCCGCGUAUUUUUGCAGCUUCGUUUUCGUUUUCUGCCACUCCCUCGCGGAAACCGAAAAUAUGUAAGUGUUUUCCGCAAAAAAUUUUUUACAUUGAAUCAAACAUCCGCAAAUCAUUUUUCGAUCAAAAAAUUAUUUUCAACCUACUUUUACAUCAAAACAAACACACCCUCAGCGAAGGUUGAAACCUCAAGUAUUUUGGCAAUCAUCAGGACAAAGCAUUUUUAUUUCAAGAAUCUGUCUGUUCUGUCAAAAUUUCGAAGUUGAGACGACCCCAGCAAAUUUGAGUAAACCUAUCAUUAGAAAACAUAAAUCUACUUUCCUUUCUGUUGUUCUCAUUUCUAUUAAAUAAAAUGCCUGUAUAUCCUUUUCUUUAUUUUGCAAGCUUCAUUUACUUUUUUGUCUUACAGAUUGAGCACGUGCUAAAUGACAGACUGCUGGAAUUUGUAGACAUAGAUUUGCAUGAUAUUAAGGUGCACUUGUUAUUUUCUGUUAUUAGGAUAUCCUCUUCUUUUUUUUUUUCCCUCCUUUCCUUUUGCUGUUAAAAAUUGUAAUGUAGUAUUAUGCAUUGUAUAAUAUUGUUGCAGGAUAUACGCAAGCGCUUUGACAAGGCUAGCAUUCACUAUGACCAGGUCAGUUUUAUUGGGUUGCCGUUUUAUAUUUCCAAGGUGUUUUCUCAUCAUAGAUAUUCUGCAACUUCAGCUGGCACAAUACAGUAACUAGCAAAUUAGGUUUAAUCUGCUAUGAAUGUCAUUUCAGCAAAUUAUGUUAUUUUUGCUAAGUCACUUGAUCUUUGGUGCAACAAACUUAUUGUAACAAAUUCUGACAUAUUCUGCAAUAGUGUUUUGAGCCCCGCCGGUACGUCAUAUUGUUAAGUUAGCUUUAGGAUUUCAUGUUGCAUGUAUGUGCUCUUUGGCCAGUGCUCAGUGCUCACUAAGCUUUUCUAGUUGUCAUUGAAAUGGUUCCACUGUGGAAUUUCCAGUUGUUAGCUACUUUAUAUCUUGCAUAUCUAGAUUUUAUCAAAAUGAAUUGCGAUAAGGACUAAAUGGAGGUCGCAUGUGGUGUUAACUUUAUCAUGAUCUUUUUUGUGCAACAGGCUCGUGAGAAGUAUCUAUCGUUGAGGAAAGGCACAAAAGUGGAUGUAACAACUGUCCUGGAGGAAGUAAUAACUUAAAAGCCUUUCUGUCUAGGGAUGAUAAUUAAUAGAUAACAUGACAGGAUGUGUUGUUCACAUCUUUUAAAUUCUGUCUGUUUUCUACAAUGGUUGAGGAAAUGACUUAAUUGCACUUACUGGCAUGAUACAGGAACUCCACAGUGCUAGAUCGUCAUUUGAGCAGGCUCGUUUUGAUCUGGUAAGUGAAGUCUUUGAUUCUUAUAUGCAAUAGUUCUUUUUUUCCUCCAUAUGUAUGUAUGUCUCAUUGCUCUUUCUCGAUAUGAUGAUGCCCAUUCCAAUUUCUAGGUUACUGCUCUUUCAAACAUUGAGGCAAAGAAGAGAUUUGAAUUUUUGGAGGCUGUUAGUGGAACAAUGGAUGCUCAUCUUCGUUACUUCAAACAGGUGACGUGAAUUGAUGGAAUUUUCUGCCUUUUUGUUGUUCCUCUCUAUAGUUAUACUGUUUUUUUGAGACUAUCAUUUGUGGUUUCAUUCAGGGUUUUGAGCUGCUGCACCAGAUGGAGCCAUAUAUCCACCAGGUUUUGUUAUAUUUUAUAUAGAUAAUCUCUUAUUUCAGUAGUAGUUACAAGUCCUUAUUGAGCUUUCUUGUUUCUUGUGGUUAAAGCCGUUUUUAUAGUCAAAAGUUACGAACUGACAUGAAUUUGAUGCUUGUAUUAAAAUUUUAUUAUUUGGUAUUAUGGCUAAUAACUGUAGGACAAAGUUCAAAAAGCUCCCUGUACUACAGGGUGAUUGCACUUUAUUAUCUAUAGUUAAAAUUUAGCACUUCGCAAACCUGUGGUUGCUGUUCCAAUUGUCUGUCAAACCUGUUGUUAACACGCUGUUAGAGAGGGCACGAACGUGCUACAAGUUGAACCAGCUACAAGUUGAACCACAUGGUGAUAAGGUGAAAUUAGGCUAUACACUGGGAGGGUUUCUGUAAUUUCUCGCCAUAAUAGCGUUUCAAUGAAAUGCGUGAAUGUUGUGUGACCACCUCAUAUGGUGUGUUAACAGCAGGUCCUUGCAGACAAUUAGAACAAAUACUGGGUAGCUGAGUGUUACAUUUUGAACUACAGGAUACUAUAGGAUAGUGAACUAUAGAAGGGCUGAGCCAUGGAGUUUUCUCUCCCAAAUUUUUGUCUGUCACAUCAUUGUGAGUGUUUACAUAUGAAUCUUGCGAAACCUCAAAACAUAUAUGAAUCUUGCGAAACCUCAAAACAGCAAAUAUGGUUCGUAGUAAUUUACAUUCCAUAUCCUUUGUACAUCUGUUCAUUUAAAUGUUUUAUAUGUUGUAAUACAGAACUUUUUUCUGUUUGUUAUUCUUUAAAUCAUUCUUUAUCUUCAUAUAUCACAUAUAUCUUGCCAUGACGUUGACUUUCCCUCAUUUCAUUUUCUAUACAAUGUCUCCUGGCUACCUGAUUUAUCUUGUUUGAUUCCCUUACAUAGGCCUCCUGACUCAGAAUGUUUAUUAUCUAAAACAUGAAGUAUAAGUGUAUCUUUAAUUACCGUGUUGAAGGUUCUGGCAUAUGCACAGCAAUCGAGAGAACGGUCUAACUAUGAGCAGGCUGCUCUCACAGAGAGAAUGCAAGAGUUCAAAAGACAGAUUGAUCUAGAAAGUAGGCGGCCUUCAAAUGGGUCACAUGAUUCUCCUAAUGGUGAUGGUAUACAAGCUAUUGGUAGAAGUUCUCACAAAAUGAUAGAGGCAGUGAUGCAGUCGGCUUCAAAAGGAAAGGUGGCUUAUUUUUCCCGUAUCUCUCUACUUCACCUCAGAAAAUGGGUUAAAAUGUAUGCAUAGUCCGUGUACUAUCCUGUAUUGCAACUUAUUCCCUGAAUUGUUGCUAAAACACUUCACUGACUGUCUCAUUAUAUUGCAAUUGGUAAGUUGCACUGCUAGUCCCUGAACUUUUGGUCAUGCUUUAUUUUGGUCCUCAAACUAUCAAGUUGGACAUUCGAGAUCCCUAACUUCAAAAUCAUUUCACUUUUGUCCCUCCCUUAGAGAGUCAACAUUAUUGUGUGAAACUUGGUGGAAAAAUUAUUGUGCGCACCUGGUGCAUUGUACAUUUAUGCACCAUGACCACUCUGGCCCUUCAUCCAUCUCAUGCUUUCAGGGACUGCAAUGUAGUAGAAAGUUCAGGAACUGAAGUUUUGAAGUGAAAAGUGCGGAGCCUGACGCGCAUUAUCAGGAUAGUAAGGGGAUGAUACACACAUUUAUCAAAAAGAUUAACUUGUGAUUUUAAUAUGAAAAACUUCAGAAGUUGUGGAUGUUAAAAAUCUUCAAUUUGUAAAUUACUUAAAAAAGAUUUCUUAUCCAGUUUUGUUGCAUUAAAAAGAUGGCCUCAUUCCUUUAAAUUGCAGGUUCAAACCAUCCGACAAGGUUAUCUUUCAAAGCGUUCAUCAAAUUUAAGAGGUGAUUGGAAGAGAAGAUUUUUUGUCCUUGAUAGUCGGGGGAUGUUGUACUACUAUCGCAAGCAAUAUAGCAAGCCAUCUGUAUGUUCCCUGUAAUGAAUAAAAUCACUGAAAGAAUAUUAACUUCACAAUUUCAAUUAAUCAUGCUGCGCCUCCAUCUUCAAUUCUUCCUUUUUGUCUAAUUUUAAAAAUGCCUUUAUUAGGCUGGGAGUCACUCUACUCUAAAAGGCCAUAAUUCCUCUGAACAUAGUUCUGGAUUGCUGGGCCGAUUGUUUUCUCCACACAAUCAUGGUGCAAAUGAUGAUAAAUCAGUUGCACGUCAUACUGUAAAUUUGCUUACAGCAACUAUAAAAGUUGAUGAAGAUCAGUCGGAUCUGAGGUUCUGCUUCAGGAUUAUUUCACCAACAAAGAAUUACACUCUUCAGGUAAGGAUCAUAAGUUCAUAAACAGUUAAUUUUUAAUUUCUGUUACUUAAAUAGGACAAAUUUUGACUUAUGGUUCUGCUUGCUAAAUUAUGCAUCUCAAUUUUCAACUUCACUUUAAAAGUAUAUUGCAGUAUCCAUAUCUAAGGUUGUUGUGGUAUACAUAUUUAUGCAUCCCAAAGUGUCUUUUUGUAUUAUUUGAGAAUUUAGACCCUAAAGCUUGGUUUUGAUUUUACUUACGUCUAGGUUUCAAUUUAACAGUUUAAUCCCUAUAAGUUUGUUCUUCUUAGUGAUAAAGCUAGGAUGCAUGGAUAUUUUAUUUUAAAAGCUCUGGCAGUCUAUACAUAACUGAUAAAGAUUUGUGCCCAAUUCACAAUAUCUAAUUAAUUUUUAUGGGCCAGUUAACUUAGUCCCUGAUAAUCUUUCAUUUGUGCAGGCAGAAAGUGCUACAGACCAGAUGGAUUGGAUCGAAAAAAUAACCGGCGUUAUUGCUUCAUUGCUGAGCUGUCAGUCUCCUGAAAAGGUCAGUUUUGGCAACACAUCUUGUAUAAACAAUUUUCUCAUAUUUACUGAAGUCUACUCAACGGAUGCCAACACAUUUAUUUUCAGCACCUUCUUGCCAGCUCUAAGGGUAGUGGCCAUCACUAUGCCUGCAGCGAGAGCAGUUCAUUCGGUAGUUCAUCUGAUCUCGAUCAUUCCGCGAUCGAUGAACUGACACUGGAAAAGAGUUGUGGAAGUGGGCAUCUUGAGCGUUCUCUUAGAGGCUCGCAACAGCACAGGAUAAAUUCAAGACAAGAGAAACCAAUUGACUUGCUAAGAAAAGUAAGUGGAAAUGACACUUGUGCUGAUUGUUGUGCUUCUGAACCUGACUGGGCUUCAUUAAAUCUUGGGGUUCUUGUGUGCAUUGAGUGCUCCGGGGUUCAUCGCAACCUUGGUGUUCACAUUUCGAAGGUACUAAUACAUUCACUCCUUAAUCAUAUCAUCGAGUAUGAUUCUCUCUUUUCUUUUUUAUUAAUUUUUCCUCUCUUUCUAGAAUGUGACUACUAUAAGGAGCUCCUUACAGUAGAUUGUAUAAGGGGGGGAUAGUAUGAGGAAAUGUACACAUACCUUACAGUCCCCACCACCAAAUAAGUUAUGUUCUUUUCUGGUAUACAAAGUAUUGGGUUUUGCAUAUAUACAUGUGGAGUUGUGAAAAUCUCUGCUAAGUUGGUAUUUGCCUACAUAUCUUAAAAGACAUUUAGGGCAUGUUUGGUUCAUGAUUGGAAUAGGAAUGGAAAAUGAAAUUGGAUUGUUUUGGAAUGGAAAAUGGAAUGACGAAUCAUCCAAAAAUGUUUGGUUCAUUAUUGGAAUGGAAAUCAGAAUGAAAAUUUUAAAUUUUUGAGAGAGGGUUUUGAUUAAGAGUGAGGAAAGUGAUGAAGGAAGAGAAGGUAGGUGUUGAUGAAAGAGAAUUUUAAAUAGUUUAUUUUGGAAUGAGCCAAUCCGGGAUUCGAAGCCGGAUUGGAUCAUAAAUGGAUUUGGCCAUUCCCAUUCCGGAGUGGAAUGGAAAUUGGAAUUCGAUUCCUAUAAAACAAACGGCAACUAUCGGAAUCAAUGAAUUCCAUUCCGAUUCCAUAAUCUAAAAUAGGUGAACCAAACAUGCCCUUAGUGUUUGUGCCAUGGCCGGGGUCGUCUAUGCAAAGUCUAAUUCAUUUUUCUAGUUUGAAAUUGUACAUUUGGUCAGGUUUUUAGUUGGAUGGUCGCUGAUUAUUCUUGACAAGUUUUGUUCCUGUUUACAUAUGCUUUUUUAUUCUUCUUUGCCAGGUAAGAUCUCUGACACUGGAUGUCAGAGUUUGGGAGCCUUCUGUAAUCAAUCUGUUUCAAUCUCUAGGUAAUACAUUCGCCAACUCCAUCUGGGAGGAUUUGUUACCAGCAUCAAUUGAUAAGAUAUGCGACGAAACUCCUAGGUACAUGUUCUUAUCAUUAUUCUUUCCAUUGGGCCAAUCUGCUAAAUUCGAAUAACAUGGUUAACUAUAACAGUUAAGCUUAAGAAAUAUUCCAUUUAGUUAAAAACUCCAUUCAAACUUUAUAUGAUCAUAUAUUGAGAGUUUGAGACUAAGAUCGAUGAGAUAUAAGUAAUUAAAUAUCAAGUAAAAUAAUCUGAAAUGUAACAAAAUAAUAGAAUUAUAUAAAUAAUGUAUAGAAUCCUCAUUUGGCAAAUUGUGCCAUGUAACAUCUUUGAAAGGAUGACUGUAAAGAAACUUGUAAAUUUUCAUGUGUCGCAGGGCGUGUAAACUUGAGAAUAAGCAACAGAACAGAAAAAUCAGCAAGCCCAAACACUCGGAUCCUAUUACAGUGAAGGAGAAGUUUAUUCAAGCAAAGGUAGUGAAAAUGAUAAUUUAUUUACAGCUGUAUAUUUUCUGUAGUUUGUUUAUCAUAUUUCACUGGUCAUUAAUCAAGUUGCUUCUCAUUCUUGCUAUAUACCAUCUAUUCUUUCUAUUGGAGGAUAUGCGAUUUUCUUUUAUUUUAUUUUUAUAUAAACUUCUUUCAAAGAGCUCAGUUUUCAUCUUUUAGGGCCAAAUUGCCCCUCCAUUGUAGGACGAUUAUGCACAAUUUUAGGAUGUGGUGGUGUCGUUUGGUCCAAAAAGUUCGAAAGUAGUUUAAAGUUGCAAGAACAAUAAAAUGUCCCAUUUUUGCUUUUUUUUUUUUUUUAAUGUGCAUUCUUUUUCUUUUGCAUGUGGGAAAGGGCUUCUCUCUUUAUCACCUUGGAAUGUGGGAGGCUAAUUUUAAUAACAAUUUUCCUGGCUAUUCAUGGAUGUGAUACUGAAGUUCAAUUUUUUUCUCUUAUUCCAGUAUGCAGAAAAGGACUUUGUCUGCAAAGAGAAGCCAAACCAAAAUAACUUUUCAAUAGCACAGCAGAUGUGGGAGAGUGUGUGUGCCAAUGACAAGAAAUCGGUAUACAAGCUCAUAGUUGCUUCGGAUGCUGAUGUAAACCUCUUAUAUGAACGUCCAUCGUCCAGCAUUUCUUUGACUCUCUCAAAAGCAAUUCUACAAGACGAAGCAACUGCUUCACUGGCUCGAAGUUCUAGUUGUUUGAUUGAUGAGUCCUUCAGUGAUGUGGGUGAGUUGGAUGAAUGCUUCGAGGGUUUCUCGCUGCUCCAUCUUGCAUGUAGAACUGCAGAUAUGGGCAUGGUGGAGCUCCUAUUACAAUAUGGUGCCAAUGUAAAUGCUACUGACUCAGAGGGGAGGACUCCGCUUCAUCACUCUGUUCUCAAAGGCAGACAUUUGCUUGCUAAGCUACUACUUGCGAGGUACUUCCGUUUGUCCUGUAAUUAUGCAUUUAUUUUUGUUUCAGUUCUACUGAGAUGAUGUCAUAUGCUGUUGUGUAUUGAACUGUUGGCAUUGUUUAUGUUCUGUUUUCCUUUUCGCUCGACUUCUAAAUGGCUAAAGGGCAAAGUCAACCUUGAAAUGAAAUGAACUAUUUCAAAUUGUUGCUGACUGUGCAAACACUAUCUUCGUUCAGAAAAUAAAUAUAAAAAAGUCAACACAUUUUCUUUUUCUUUCUCAAACAAAACUCAUAAAUGUAGAGUUACAAAAUACACAACAGAAUCAAAAUUUAAGAGAAAUUAGCCCUGCCUUUAACCAUAUUGAGCUUCAGGAAAACAUAGUUAAAAAUAAAAGCACAAACAAUUCCAAGCAAUCACUUAGUUUCUUCAAUCUUUCUUGUUUCUCAAUUUCUUCAUCUUUCUUGUUGCAUUUAACUUGGUUGUGAAUAAUGGUUUGCCAUUAUCCUAUAGAACUUCAUAUCAUAUCUUUUAUUCCUUUCAAUUGAUUUUUUAUGUAAUUUAGUUUUACAACACAGCAAACAGUUUACUAUUGUAUUGUUUGUACAAAUUGCCUAUAUUGCCUAUCUAAUACUAUUUCUUUCUAUAUAUUUGUUACGUGAAUGCACGCCCGAACUUGCGAAUCGUACCUAGCUCUAUAAUUCAUCAGUUGACUGUCAUUUUAACAACCUAAUUUCGUAGCAAUAUUCCAUUGUAUGUUCAAAAUUGCCCCUCUUUCAGAAACUCCCUAACACGACCAACAUGCCCCUAUGAAUUUGAGGACUCCCCAAGUUAUAUUACAGGUACUUUUCGAAGAAACUGCAGUUUCAAGGGAUAUAUACAUGAGAUUCCAAAUUUUACUCGGCUAUGUAUGUAAAUAGAUAAUCUUGAAGGGACAUACGGAAAUAAAAUCCUAGAACAAGUUUUUGAUCAUGGUCUACAUUUUUUUCUUGCAGGGGAGCUAAUCCGCACGCUGCUGAUCUGGAUGGUAAAACUCCAUUAAGUUAUGCCGUGGAAUCUGGAACGAUUGAUGAUGAAGAUAUACUCGUUCUAUUAGAAGACCCCAACAGAUAGAAAUUUAAAAAUCUUUGAGCUUCAUUUUUUUUAGUCAGAUGAGCCCUCCUUGUUCUUUUAGCUUGUCGGAAAAGCUUACGGCUUAUCGCAGUGCUCAACAAGGUUAACUGUUUCUACUAAUUCUGGGGCUUAAAAACCGGCUUAUGGUUCUGCGGAUCCUGUGUUGUGAGAUUUUCUGCUUAUUUAUUAAACUUGUUUUUGUUUGCUUUUUAGUGAGAUUUGUAUAUCGCCGCUGCGUCUGUUUAUCUCGUAAGCCUUUUUAAGUUGUCAAUCGGUCAACAUUGAUUGAGAUGCCCUUUUGAUUGAGGGUGUAUGUACAUAUACCUUUGUGACUGUAGAAGUAACUAGUUUGACCAAAAAAGAUGCCAUAUUAAUUGCACCGAAUUUUCCAGCUUUUCUCAUAUCUCUGUUUCUUAUAAAAACAUUGUGAUCAAAUGUGUGGUAGCACACGUGCUUUGUCAUCAUAUUCAAGAGUUGUGUCAUUUACUAACGUUUUCUUUCGCAUUUCUACACUACCAAUUAUUGAGCAAGUCCAUAAGAUAUGCUUAAACUCGGCCUGUUUUCCCUGUAUUAGUUAACAAGACUGAGUAUUGUACUGAGGCCGGGUCUGGAAAUUUGUUUUCCAAAAGCAAUCACGUUGAUGCUUUAUUAGAGUCGCACAAAAUAGAAAGGCGCAUCGGAGUUACCCGAUACUUUAAAAUAAAGACGCAAAAAUGGCAGUUGAAUCUCCGCAGGAUAAGCACCCAGCUUUCAUUGCCAUUUUCAACGUCGGAGGAGCAGAGGUUUGUAGCGCCUUCGAAUUGUUUUACAAUUCUGAAUCAUUAAAGCAUUCGCAGGUGCAGAACGCAUUCCCAAACAAGACCUGCCUAGCGAUCAUCCUUUGCACUGGUACUCUGUUUGCAGAUAGCAGCUCUUCGUGUUUUCCGGAUAAAGGACAGAGAACGUAGACAAGCUGUAUUUGUACAUCAGUUAAACACUUUUAGACUAGUAUCUAUACAAAUAUGUAAAAUUCGAGGUUUGCGUUCUAUGUGAAAAAGGGCUUUUCACAAGCACUUCAAGUAGAAAGUGAUUCAUCCAGAAACUGCUCUUCUGAAAAAGAAAAUCCUGCUGCAAGCAGGAAUGGGCAUCAUGUGUGCAGCCUACUGACAUCUUCAAGAAGAAAAAGAAAAAGAAGGACAUGCUGCUCCGGAAAAGGGAUUACUCUUUUUCCAAAUGAUCUGAAAGACUCAAAGACUCCAAAAUUCUCCUUCAAAUUUUAACCAGCAUCAUCAUUGUAUGAAUAGUAUGCCACAUUAUAUGAUCGAGUAGAGAGAUCUACCGAGUAAAUGAUUAUUCGAUUGAGGAAUUAAGGUUGCAAUGAACAUGAAUCUCAGCCACAAAUACCAAGCAUUUUCACAUUGAUAAUACAAAUGGAAAAAUGAGCAAAAGUAAAGAGGGGGGAAAAACACCUUAAAUGCCCUCGAUGAUUUCGGAGAAUUCGGCUCUCGAGACAGCAACUGUUUGUCAAUAUCGAGAAGCAAAGAAUAGCUGCCAAUAUAUGAAGAUUGAUGAAUAAUUGACAAUAUAUGAAGAAAACAAAAAGAUUUGCUGCGACUCAAAUUAUGAGGCACUAAAGCCUCAUAUUUAAAAGAUACAUAUCUAAACAAAUUCGCGGAUGCUUCUGAAAUUCCAAGUACGUAGAUACGUCAAACAUUAGUCAUUUGUUCUAUAUUAUGCGCAUUGGCAACAAGGUACUGAUAUAUGUUUUAUGCUAUUUCAAUGCAAGAAGCUUCUAUAAAAUCAUGAGACUGCAAAUUUUUUUCUUUAAGUUUUCUGUUAUUUUCUUUUCCAAUGAAAUCUGGAAGCGAAAUUUCUUAGGUAAAUGUAUAAACCUUUAACUGAACUAGACCACAUUAUGAGAUGGGUCCACUAACUUCAAAAUUUCUAAGUUUACUUCCUAACCUUACAGUUAUUUUGAUUUUAUUGUGUCUCUAUCAGAAGCUAACGGUCAUUUUAAGUUUUCAACAGAAUAUUCUGUUACUUGAUGAUAACAGGUUAAGUAGUAAAAUCGGAAUUGCAACAGUUCAAGCACCAUUUCGAGCUGUGAUACAGUUUAGGUGAAAUCUGUACUUGUUCACUAAUUUUUUAGCAUAAUCAGCUCAAAGAAAUCAGGUCGUAUACUACUAUCUUUUCAAAAUAUCACUUAAUAGGUAAUUUUGAUGGCAAAUGUUAAAACAAAUAGACUCACUGUUGACGUCUGAUGAAACACGAUAUUUGACGAUACUAGCAAAAGAAUCGGACCGGUGCAAUCUUCAUUCUUAUUUCAAAUGAGCAUUACAAAGAAGAUUAGCAAAUUACCCUCUCCAGUUGUCAUCCAUAUAUUUAAGUGAAGGACGUCCGAAACCUACAAGUAUUUGCAAGCUUCCAUCACUGAUUCAACUGCUUCAUAACAAAGCCUGCAUAUCCACAUGCAAGAAAAUUACUACAAUUGCCGAUUCACUUACCAAAAGUUAAAAACAGUAUGUAAAAUUCAAACUUAACUAUAGAGCCAUUUAAUAUGAACAAGAUAUCUCAUUACACCAUAGAUGGUCAAAAUUCUGUUUUGUAUGAGUGAAUACAAGUAGUACAGCCGUACUAUAGUAGAUAGGCCUUUCUGCGAAUAACUGUCUUUACGUCACAGGAUAUUUCAUAAAUUUCCAGAGAAAGUUUGCAUCAGGUUGCUAAGCAUCAAGAAGGUAAAGCACUUGGUAUCUUCAAGUAAGACAAUAUCAUAUUGCCUCAAUAAGGUUUAAGUUAUCAAUGUGCUUCAUAUAUAAAGUUAGAUUUAAAAUUGUCAACUAAGUACAAAAGACUGAUAUUUACCUCGUUACUUUGUUGCUGCUUCACAAAAGCCAGUGAUGACACUAUUAAGUUCCACCAAAGCACCUGAAUGCAGACUAGACGAGCUGAUAAGUGUUUUCCAGAGAUGCUCCUCCCAGUUGGAGACAUGAAAAAUUGUUUGUAUCGAAAUCUCUAUCUGAUAUUUUUCUUGUGGAUCCAUUACCAAGUUUCAUGUCAAUGUCAAUGCAGUGUGGUGCCAUGUCAGCAUAGGUAUUGCAUAACUGGAUUUGGAGAUCAGAUCAAACUUGUCAGCUAAUCAUGCCUUAAGCACACCUUCCACCUUAAUCACCGACUCGCCAUUCACAAUGUCCUGAUCCUCCUCUCCCAUAUCGCUCAAUUUAGUGCCUUCUUGCAACCAAUUAUUGCAUAAUAAAAUUCCCAAAAUCUUAUCGGAUUCAUCAAUAAACCCAUUUGUGUAAAGACGACGGAGUAGCAUCAGGCAUUGUGCAUCGUCAGGCUUGAUUUCUUGUUCUUUCAUUUCAUUAAAUAACUCAAUUGCUUCAGGUAAGUUCCCCAUCCUACAAAGGCCAUCCACCAAUAAAAAAUAUGCUGCACUGCUAAUUUUUGUGCCUCCUGCAAUAAUAGCUUCACGCAAUUUUAAGGCCUCGACCACAUUUCCUUCUUUGCAAUGCAACUGAAAUAUUCUAUCAGUAAUUUUAUCAGACAAUAUGCCUUUAUUUACCAUAUCUUUAAAUAAUUCAGACAUAUAAAUGACAGCAUUCGGUCUAAGGUUCUUCUCCUCUAUCUGAAUAAAUAACUGAAAUGCUUCGUCUACCUUUUCGGCCCUGUCAAAUCCCGCAAAUAAAGUUGAAUAGGUAGCAAAAUUAGGCAGUAUUUGCUUUUCCACCAUUAGAUCUAAUAACUUACUAGCUUCUUGUAGCUUUCCAAGCUUGCAGAAGCCAUUAAUCAAAGUGUUGAAUGUGGCAACAGUUGCGAACCCUUUUACUAACAUCACGUCAAUCAACUCUAAAGCCUUCUCAAAGUCCCCUACACUGGAGCAGCCGCCAAUGAGAGCUGUAUAAACAAACUUAUCCGCCUCUAUCCCUCUUGAUAUCAUCUCAUUGUAUAGUCUAAAAGCCUCACAUAUAUCACCGUUCUUGCAAUUUCCAUCAAUCAUACUAGUGUAUGUUACACUAUUUGGCAUCGGCCCUUUCUCUAAAAUGUUAUUGAAAACAUUACUAGCACUUUUAACAUCACCCAAUUUGCAAAGACCAUCCACUAAGGCAUUAUAAGUAACAAUAUUUGGCUCUACACCUUUGCUCACCAUUUCAUCAAGAAGACCAAAAGCUUUUUCUACAUCACCCGACUUGCAAAGCGCAACGAUCAACGAGCUAUAGAUAUAUGCAUCAGGAACUAAGCCUUUAUUUUCGAGCUCGGACAGGGUUUUAAAAGCCAGAUCAAUGUUUCCACUUUUUAAAAGGCUAUUAAUUAACACACCGUAAGUUUGGAUGUCUGGCAUGAUGCCCCUUGCCAACAUGGACUGAAGUGUCGAUUUGGCCUUAGCAAUGUCAUUCAAUUUGCAGUGACCGUCAAGGAGAGUCGUAUAAAUAACAUCAUUAGGUUUUAAUCCUUUACUGAGCAUCUCCUGAAAAUAAAAGUCAGCCUUCUCCAUAUCCCCAGCUUUACUGUAACCAUGAAUAAGGGCCCCGUAUGUGAAUGAAGUGUGUGACAACCCUCUCUCUUGCAUUUUAGCAAAAUAAUGUUUAGCUUCUUCCAUUUUUCCAGCCCUAGAAAGUCCGCUAAUAAGAGAAUUAUAGCAAUAUGAAUCAGGAGAAAUAUUUCUCUCAAUCAUUUUAUUUAUUAUCUGGCAAGCCUCUGAAAAAUUACCUUCCCUACAAUGACCCGAAAUAAGAGCCGCAUAAAUUACAACGUUAGGCUCCAAACCUUUUAAAACCAUCUCCUUUAAAAGACCAUCGGCUUGCCUCGAUUCCCCACAAUGGCAAAGCCCAUUGAUCAUCGCACUGUAGGUAUAUACAUUAGGUGAUACAUUUAGUCUACUCAUUUCAUCGAGCAACAGAAAUGCCCCUUUCGUAUUAUUAGCUUUAAAAUGCCCCUCUAUUAUCAAAUUAUAAGUCAUUGUGUCCGGCUUGUAACACAUUCUAUCCAUCUCUUUUAAAAGUUCAUAGGCCUUAUCAAUCUUACCCAUCUUGCCUGCUCCACGAAUGAGAUUGUCGAAUGUGAAUUUGUUUCGAUGCACGCCAGAAGCAAUCAUCUGAUCCAUUAUCUUGGAGGCUUCAUCCACAUUGCCUUCUCUCAUAUACCCAUCAAUCAACGUAUUAUAAACGACUAUACCCGGCUUUAUGCCUAAGCUAGACAUUUCAUCAAGCAGUUGCUGUGCAUCCGCCAACUUGUGAACUUUGCAUAAGCCAUUGAUCAGCGAGCCGUAAGUAAAGCUAUCCACAACAAAUCCUCUCUCCACCAUUUCCUUCUUAAACUUGAAAGCAUCCUCUACAGCUCUGACUCUACAAAACCCAGCAAUCACAGUGUUAUACGUCACGGCAUUCGGAGUACACCCAUUGCUUUCCAUCUCAAAGAAGACCCUUUUGGCCGAAUCCGUGUUCCCGACCUUAAAAAAAGCUUCGAUCAAAGCAUUAAAAGUGUACACGUCACGACCCAAUUUCGCUCCCAACAUGAAAUCAUAAAUCUUCCAGAACAAAUCCAUCAAAUUAGCCCUCAACAGAUCCUUCAAGAGAGCGUUGCAACACCGCAAGCUCGGCGCGAAGCUCGCGCCUUUCAUGAGCAAAACGACUUCUGCGGCGUCCCUCAGCAUGCCCAUCUUCUUAUAAGUAUCGAUAAGCACAUCGAACACCAAAGGAUUGUUACCUUCGCGCUGGGAGAAGCGAUGGGCGAUCGAAUUGAGCACGGUGGGGGGGUUCGGGUGGGACUUGAUCAUGCGCUCGAGGAGGCCAUUGGCGGGGCCGAAGAGGCCGCAGUUGGAGAGGCGGAGCGCGAGGAGGGCGAAGGAGUCGGGGAGGGGAGCGGAGGGGAGGAGGGGGAGGGACCAGUAGAAGAAGUCGAGGAGGAGCUUGGGGUCGAGGGCGCCGCCGCGGAGUAGCGCGGCGGAGACGGCGCCCGGGGUGAGGCGGCGGGGGAGGUCUGAGGCGGCGCAGACGGCCCUCCACCCCGCGCUCCGACCGAGGAGGACGGUGAUCUGCCGCGCCACGUCGUCAUCGUCCUCGGCGGCGGCGGAGGAGGAGGAGGAGGAGGAGGAGGAGGAGAGGUGGGAGGAUCGGGGAUUAGGGUUUCGUGAAAGGAGCCAGGGUUUCGGUGGGAGAGGAAGGGGGAGAGUGGGGUGUCGCGCGAUUCGGAGCAUGACGUUGUUGAAGCUACGCUCGAUCGGAGGAGAGAGAUGGACUCUUUUUUACCUCGAUCUCAACCUUCGUGGGGAGAUGGGUUCAGUAAUUGUUUCGUGCACCCGGUGUACAGAUACACAUGGUACCCUAGAUUGAAUAGAGGAUUGUAAUCUGAGCCCUUCUUACUGGAUUGGAAUGAUCCUUUCUCUAUCCCUAUAGUUUCAGAACUAAUAAGGUGACAAAUUCUCAAAAUUUCCAAAUUUAAUAGUUUGUACAUAGACUCUUGUUAUGUGCUAUGAAUAACAUAUUGUCAAAUUAGAUUUCGAUUUUGGAAAGUUAAUGGGACAAUAAUUUCUCUUGAUUGAGAGAUUAUAGAUAUUAUCCAACACUUUUGCAUAGCCUUAAAUUUGAUUGAUGGAAUAGUGGGAUGCGACCUGCAUCUUGCGGCAGCCACAUUUAAAUUGCUGUCACGUAUUCAUAUCCAGGAUAAAAAUUUGUGUGCAUCAAAGUUGCAUAGAAUUUUAGAAAAGAGCUAAACUACCCUCAUGUGGAGUUUCUUUUUUUUAAAAAAAUAGGUAGCACACUAUCUGUUUCGUUUAUUUUAUUUAGAAAUAAGCUUCGCUGGAAAUAUGAAUCAAUUAGGAUUCGAACUUGGGACCUCGGGUACCAACCAUUAAGUCUUUUGCCACUUGCUCUAGGGACAGUCGGUCCCUCACGUGGAGUUUCAAUAGUGAAUGAGCCACAGCAACAAUGAACAUGAUCAGGAUCCAUUUUCAAUGGAUCAUCACUAGUAACUUCAAUUAAUUAAAGUUUAAUAACAGUGCUAAAUAUAGCUCUUCUAUAGCUCUUCAGAUAUCCCUUUUUAAGAAUUAGAAAAAUAAAGAAAAAAAAGAAUAGCCCCUGUGGGUGUCCUUUUUGUCUUUUCAGCAGUAAAAAUGAUAAAAUCUUAACCAUAAAAACCCUUUAUUUGGUUGUUUGAAUUACACAAGCAGAACAAUGGAUAAAUCACAGCACAGUAAUACGAUCACCUCCAUCAAAAUUAUACCCAAAAAGUAAAACUAAAAACACUUCAUUGGUAAUUAUAAAUGGUAGCAAAAAACCGUACACAGUAUAAGGCCUUCAGUUUACACAAUUUACAGAUUUAUAUAACACAGCAAGGGAACCAAAGGAUCAGCAGAUUACACAAACUCAGACAAAAAAACAAGCUAAGAAGGUCGGAAAAAGUUGCGUGCCGGAUCACUAUUACAUACAUUGUCAUAAUGGAAUUAGGGCAACUGAAAUGGCUCGAACUCGUUGCUAAGAGUUAUCGGCGGCUAAAGGAUUUUGACCUAUUUCUCUACGGGAGGCUUCCCACAGUUGCUGCUCGACACCCAACUUCCUCAAUUCCGUUAAACCUCUCUCCACUGUAAGAGAAAUUAUACAAUGUUAUAUAUUAAUUUCCGAGUUUCUGCUAUAACUAUCGUUCAAGUGAAAAAAUAGCUGUCAAUGUUCAGCAAAAGCCAAAUUAGAAAAUAUGCCAAAGUGGAAUAGUAGGUUGUGAUGUGCAAAUGACUUGUCAUAGAGUGCAGAACAUAAAGUAGGAGGAGAAAUUACCAUCAACAGCAUCAUGGGAAGUUGCUGUUUGAGUGCUGCGAUCGAUCCAAAAUUGAAGCCUCUCUUCGGCGAUAUCCUCUUCCACACCGUGAUUUUUGGCUCUUCUCCAGAAAUAUAUUAGCCACGCCUAAGGAAGAUUAAAGAAGAUUAGAUAAAGUUAGCAAAAUUGUACAAUAGGAUCAUAAUUCCUGAAUACUUUGAUCUGAAACACUUUAGCUGCUUAGCAAUAUCGUAUAUUGCACUUCCACAAAGCGAAGGACAAAUCAAAGCUGAACAAGAAAGAUAAAAGGCAGCCUUGAGGUAGUCUUCCGUCAAUUUAGAGCUCUAAAUGUAAGCAGUUCGGUCUGUGUCCUUUGCUUUGCAAAAAUUUUAUAAUGGAAAAUAAAAUACCUUUCGUCUUUCAUUUACCAUUUUGGUUAGUCGCAGUAUUCAUGUUAAGAUUACUCUGUUUCUUGUUUUUCCUAAAUACUUUUAAGAAGAUGCAUUUGUUCAAGUAAAAAUAUUGAGUUGUUGAUAUUAUUUGAUAUAAUUUAUGAUGAGAUGAGGGAAUAGGAACGCAAAGUAAACUAUAUCUGUAGUGAUAAAAUUAAUUCUCUAUCAUAUAAGAAGUCAGAUAUAAGACUUGUAAUUAUAAUUGAAGGACGUGGAAGUGAGGACCAAAGUAGACCAAAGCACAAAGUGCAAAAUAAUAAACAAAACAAAGAUGCAUGCAACAAAAACUUUUUCAAAGAGAUUAAAGCUACCUGCUUGAAAGAAACAUCUUCUGCCUCCUCUUGGUUUAGUUCUGCAAGUAGUAACAAUGUAGUUCAAUUAAUUACUAUCAUACACUAUAACAAUAGUAAAGUAAAAUGACAACAAUGCAGGUACAUUACGUAUUGUAUCUUAUUCAUGCAUGCUAUUUGCAAGGUAAUUUGAAGGUCGAAAAUUUCAAAAGUCGCUCAUACUAGCAAAAAAGCAAGAUUGGAGAUGAUGUUCGAUCCAUUACCAAAUGACUCGAAAAAUUUGGGCUCGCCAGGUGCUUUGAAAUCUGCAUAAGCAUCAAAAAGGAGUAAAAUAGUAACUUCUCUGUUGCAUAGAAGGGUUGAAAAUGGAAGAUGAUUUACAACGAAAAUAUAUCAAAAUAUGUUUUUGCAUAGUCAAUUAGUAAUCCAGUUUGAUAGCUCAAACUCAAGCCACUUUGGACCCCGACAAAUACUAGAGACUUUUUUCUGGUCUAUGAAAUAAGGCUGUAGUCAUGCAUGGUGUAAAUAUUCCAAGUUACAAUUUAUUGCCAUUGGAUAACAAGAUUGCACCAAAAAUCAAGAAAGGUACAAUGGACCUACCUAAAGAGAAUCAUGGCAUGUUCUUUGAAUAAAAGAAGACGCUAUAUAUGACUAAAAAAAUGAAGAUGAUAUUAACAAUGACAAAUGAUGAGCACAGCAUAACUAGUCACUACAAUAGAUCUAACGAGUUCUUAGCCAAGAAAAGUAUGAAGCCACGACACACUUAAAAGCAUUUGUUUUAUUUAUUUAAAAAAAAAAAAUCAAACUUUCAAGGAUGAUCAAAGUUUAUUUAAAUGCCUACAAGAUAAAAGGUGAAGAAAGAUGGAGAGAAGCAUCACUCAUGGCAAAAGGAACAAUUGUUUUAAGGCUCAUUUUCCAUAAUAAUAAGAGCGGACAAACCUGAAGUGAAAUUUUGAACUAAGUUCGGUCGGCGAUGUUGACACAAUGCAACGAUGACAGCAUCUUCCACCUUUUAAGAUGUGCAUUAAAAUAAUAUAGGUCAAAAACACUAGAUCCGUGAAUGUUAGGACCAUAAGCUUACAAAGGAGGCAAAAAUUCCUUUCAUGCCAAUUGGUCAGCAACGUAUAAAGCAAACUAACAGAAAAUAAGCAAGGUAGAGAUGAACAUGAAUAAAGCAUGUAAAGACAUAUUAUAAGAACCUUCAAAGAUGCAAGUUCCCUGAGACCCAUCUCAACUGAGAGAAUGCUCUCUAUAUUGCCUUCCGCAUUUACGUCACUCAAAUCAUGUGAAAUUUUAUUGCUUCUGUCAUGAACAACUUCAUCUGUUUGCCAUAAACACCAUAAGAAAACCUCGUAGGAGUGCACUAAGGGAAACCAAAAAGUAUUAUAAGACCAUGAGUAGUUGUAAUAAGGACAAGAUAACUUGCCUUGAUUGUUCGAUUCUUCCUUAGCCUUCUGGCCAGCAGAAAUGACAACUUCAAGUGGAAGAGGAGCAAAUGAUGACCAGUAUUCAUGCUUUGACACCGCAAUCUCUGGAUAGAUGCCUGCAAGUAUAAUUUAUAGAAGGCAUAAUACUAGACUAUCAAGUAAACAACAAAAUCUGCAUAAAAUUCAGUAGUGGUUUAGAGACAUUAAUGCCUAUACAUCAGCAGCAUCUCUAUUUUAGAACAAAAUGUCAUGUUUUGUCCAAACACUAUCUGGUUCUUUUGACUACGGCGGGAUGCUGAAAUGAGUUUCUAGACACAAAAGCAAAAGCUCAAACAUGAACCUUCUAUUUUGGCUGCAGCAAAAAGCUGUCAGGAGAUUUUAAUGAAAGAUUUGUUAAUGCUUAUUCGGACAACUCUAGGGUCUAGUCAAACAAAUGUUCUGUAUAAGCUAGCUCUAACCGAGCCAAACAGGUUCUAACAUAGAAAUAACGGCAGAUGAUAUGGUCAUUCUUCCCUUGUGAUUCAACACUAAAUUAAUUGUGAUUAGCGCAAAUAGGCUUGUAUUACAUCCAUGGGCAGGUAUCAUGAGGUAAUGGAACAUGAACUUGGAAAAAACAUGAUAGACAGAAAAAUUCACUAUGCGGAUGAUUAGUGAUUGAACCAACUGCAUCCACUUUCUUCUUAUGUAUCUUCACCGUGACUUAUUUUCCAAGAUAAUGAAUGGUAAACUUUCAAGUUCAAAAACCAACAGAACAUUAGCAAGUAUUGAAUAUAAAAUUACCAUAUUGAACAGCUAAACCCCAGUAGCGUGCAAGCCAACACCUUUUAAGAACAACUUCUUCCUGAAAAUAAUAAUAAAAAGAAUGCUCAAGUUCUAUUUAUAAAAGAAAACAAUUAAAGAAGGGAUGACUCGUAUGCACAAACCAUCUCUUCCUGAGUUAAGAUCAUUCGUUGUGUCAUUGAACGAAGAGCCUUUGUUUCAGAUUCAGCUUCUCUUAGCUGCUCAGUGGCAGUUGCAACCUCUUUCUCAGCAGACUACACCAGAUAAGAAAAGCCAACCACACAAUACUGAAGUCGAAAUUGCAUAAUUACCAAAUUUGAAUUGAUUGACAAUGUUCAAAAUCAGAAGAAAUGACAACUACCAUUUCAAAUGUGUACCUCUAAUUCAAGCCUUAAUGCUGAUAUUUCCUGAUAUCUUCCAUCUUUUGUAUCCUUGGCAGCCUUAAGAGCGGCCUGAAAUAGAAAGUAGGUUUAUUAGUUUAAAGAAGCAGUCAGUGGAAUGUCCAAGGCAGUAUUUUUAUUUCUUAGAGCUGAUUACUAUUUCCCCUUCUGUUUUUGCACAAGUCAUCUACCAAAUUUUUUAACAAUUGCCAUCCUCACGGGAACUAUAUUGACAAAUAUAAUUGCAGCCACAAAAUAGUUACUUAGCAAACAAUCUGAGCAAAUAUAUAAGUCACUAAAGAAAGUAAUGAAAGUAUGUCAAAGAAUAAGGUUUAAAUUGUUCAGGAAUUUACCACUCAUGUUGCAGGUGAACUGAUGCAAUUAUGAAAACUUGAGAAUACAGUAUAUUUUCAUGCAGAGAGAUUUGGAGAUUAAAGUAUGAUAGCUUUCCCCACCCCAAAAGUGUUUCAUUCAAAUAUUUAGGAGCCCGCUAAAGGAACAUUAUGGAACAUAUUAUUUCUCAAACUAAAAAAUGAAAAGAAUAGCAACGACACUUGCCUAAGGGUGCCCUACUUGUGUCUAAAUGAAAAGCACUGAUUUAAAAAAAAGGAAAAAGGAUCUUUAAUUACUUUCUUCUCUCUCAAACACUAGCCUAAGCCCAACUCCUGUUAGAGGGGCAGGCGCACCAAAAUAGACAAAUAGUGGGAGCAGAAAACAAAAAGGGGUGGGUCCUGCAUGCUUCACAUGCCCAUUUUUAAGGUAGGGCUUUCCUACUGGCAAGUAAAGAAUAUGGAGUUUUAAUGAUUAGUCACAAUAAAAGCAGCCUGACAAGUUUGUUAGAAAUGCCAAAAGAAAGAGAUAUGGCUAACUAAGAUCAAUUGAAUUGCUGGUCAAAUUCUGUGUAAUUGUUUAAGGAACUAUUAGGUGGCAUGAACAUUUGGGCGACAAUUGGUUUCCUUUGACACUCCUAGACCAAGGUUUUAAGUGCCCGUCGACACGGGUUGUAUCCACCGUGCCGUACCGUGCCAACAAGAUACCGGCACGAUACAGACCUCGUGCCGAUCGCACAGCUCAAAACCUUUUAUUUUUUAAAUUAGUAAGUAAUUUUCUCAAUAAAGUUCAAAAACUGUGAUAAAAAGAUAUAAUAAAUAGUUAGAAUGUUUUGUUGCUAAAGAAAGUAAAUAUUUCAUACUAUUAUGUGUCGGCACACAAGAAUUUUUUUGACCGGCACGCAUCGGCACAGCUCGGCACGCACCGUGCCGUACCGUACCGGCAAGUUUCCGGAAUUCCGGCACAACCCCAUGCCACGACACAUAAAUCCUUGUCCUAGACAAUCUUUAUAUCUUUGACAAGGUUGAGCAAAAAGAGUUAAAAAAAAAUCAUAUUGUGAUUCAAACACGACAUGCAUGGUCCUUAAGAUUGUUCUGGUUUAAGAUUGUACUGGCAAGAAAAAGUGAAGCACGUUGUGAGCCAAAUAAGAAUCACAAAAACAAGUUCAAAAAAGAUAUUUUUGAGAGUCUAAGGUUAGCUAAGUUAAACAACACAAAUAUACAUAUGUACAUGUUACCUCUCUCUGACGGAGAGCCGCUUCCUUCCUGCAAAUUGUCAACUAAAUGUCAUGAUGUAAGCAUAGUAAAGGGUUCCAGUAAAUGCACAAAACACCAAGCAAUCAACCUGCUCAAGAGUCGAGCCUCCAAAGAUACCCCUUCUCCCAAUGCAGCAACCUGUAUAACCAGACACUAACUUUUCAGAAUUGUUACUAAUUCAUCAAAUGGAUAUGUUCUCCCAUUAUGAAUAGUUAAAAAUGUAAAGAUCAAACACCUUAAACCUUUUUCAAGAACAACAUAAAUGAAGGAUCAAAUGAAGCAUUCAGAUUCUUUCAUUGCUCAGAAUCUUAGUUUACUUCUCGUACUCUUAUUAGAGACCAAAUAAACAUUUGCGCAGUUGACAAAUUUUCAUACGAGGCAACAUGUUCUUAUUUUAUCUAUCUAUGAUCUACACUUUUGAAUGAUUACUCAGCUACACAGACCUGCUUCUCAAGUUCCUUGGUUCGGGCCUCUGCUUCCUGAUAUCUUUCUUCAGCAAGUCGCAACUAUUAGACAAAUUUGUGAAAGUAUUAGUGGUCUGCACCAAAAAAGUUCCUCUCAUCGUAUAGAAAUAUACUUUACCUUUUCAAGAAUGUUCUCAUUCUCUUCUUGUAGCAUAUCAAGCUGCAGAUGAAAAGAAUGUCUUAGUUAUUUGAACUCUGAUGACUAAUUAUUGAUCUGCAUAUUUUACACCCUAAGCAGAAGAUGAAAGGAAAAAAAACAAAUGGAGUUUAAAACAAAGUGAAAACCUCAUCUUGAAGUGCAGAAGCCUCACGUUGAUCUGUUUCUCUUGAGUUUAGAUGAGUUCUAUCUGCUGGAAACCUGAAGCACAAUUAAUCAGCUUAAUACCAACUUGUUCUAUUCUACUGAAGUGUGGAAUCAAUGAGACGAAUAGGAAUUUAUGUAAGCAAAGUAAGCCUUUAAGGGGGAAAGGAAGUAAACUAUCUGUCUUGCUAAGAAGAAGAUGACAGCUUAAAAGAACAUAUAUGCCUACCGAUGGAUAUUUCUACAUAGAGAUAAGGAGACCAAUGAAAAAUUACAUUAGAAACUGUGACUUCAAUGAUACAAAGCCAUGGUUCCCUUCCCUCAUCAGGGACUACAAUAUUUGGUGAACAACCACAAGAACACCAUUUAUUGAGAAUUUACAUCUCAUAGUUGUAGAGCAGGUAGAGAACCUAGAGGAUGCAAUUCAAGGUUAAUAAUUGGUCCUGCGAUUAAAUUGUCUAAGAGAAACAGAUUAUUAAAUAGGCAGAAAAUGUCAAAGCACAACUCAAGUAUCAUGUUACCUUUUCUGCCUAUGCUUAUCAGCUGGAGGGUCCGCUGCUGGAGUAGCUGCUGGAGUAGGAGAUUGGGUUCUCACAGGUGUUGUAAUUGGUGGCACCACCGUUGCUGUACGAACAGAGACUGAUGGCCUUUCGGUUGCUGUAGUGCGGUUUGCUGUAGUAUGCUCUACAAAGUUCUGACCUAACUAAUAAAAAUGACGAAAACAAAAAGAUUAGCAAGAGAUCAGUUAUAUAACCCAAAUAGCAUUAACAACCAAAUAUCAGAUCGCCUAAGCAUAUGAAGACUUGUGUGCCUUCUGCAAAUAAUAAUAAUAAUAAUAAUGCCUAAUUGCAAUAGAAAUGCUUCCCAAAGCCAGAAUAAAGUUCCAUUACUUGUAAAGACCUAAUUUGAGCCCUACGAGCCUGCUUGGCUUUUCCUAAAUCUCAUAUAGAAGUGUUGUUUGAGUAGAACAGUUCAAAUAAGAACUACAGUGUUUUUAUUGGAUCAACAGCUUCUUGGUGCAGUAGAAGCAAAAUUCAAAUUGGAGCAUCUGUUAUUGGGGCCCGAAAGCUCAUUUUAGCUUGUGGCCACACAAAAAGAUUAAGAGCUUUGUCAAACAAAGGCCUGGUUAAUGGAAGGUUCUGUUUCCUUAUAAGACAAGCCCAUCUAGAAGCCAAGCCAAACAACCACAUUGUUUAAUACAACUACACAGCUGGUAAAACCAUAAAAUUAGCAGCAUUUGUAGUACAAUUUCAAACUUCACUAAAGAUCAGUCAUACUAGUAACUCUUCCUUUCCACUUUUUAAAAACAGAAGAGGUUGGAGGUACUAUAAGUCCUGUUUUAUACAUCUAUUUUCUUGUAUUGUGUGUGAAGGGCCAACAAAUUGUGAAUCCAACAUCCAUUCAGGUUACAAGCCUGUUUAACAACCAAUGUAGCGAGAUGCAAUUUAAAAUGUUCAAGUUUGAUUUAAUAUACAAACGUACAAAAAGUUUACACAAGAAAAAAAAUCAGAUUGGUUAAACUUCCCCAAAAUGCACAAUCUGAAUUGACAAGAAAUUAAUAAGAGACAAAAUAAUUCGAUAGAAAAUGAUGAUCACCGCAGGUGAGGUAGCUCGGUUUGGCCCCCGCAACAAUGAAGCCCCAGCACCGCCGCCAUUGCUGCUCGCCACCGCCCCACGGCGACCAGCGCCGUACCUCAGCGCCGCGCCGAACGCCGGGAGCUCCUCGCCGUCGUCGUCGUCGUCAUCACCAGCGCCGGCGCCCUGCGAGGCCAUCACCUGCGCGAGGCGCGCCGCGGCAGCCCUCGCCGCCACGUUCUGCGUUCUCCUGACCCCGGAGAUCGGGGCUCCGCCGCCCCCCGCCGCCGCCGCCGACGGCGACCGGCGGUAGCGCCCCGGCGAGAGCCCUCCCGGAGACGACGAACCCGUGCUGCUCGACCCGCCGCUCCUCUGCCGCCCGUACACCGGGCUCGCCGCCCGGAACCGGUCCAUUGCAGCCACCUCCCCCGCCGGCGCAGCCGCCGUCGCCGCCGCGUGGAGGCUCCGGAUGAGAGGAGAGAGCAAAACCCUAGGAUCAGGAUCCGACGAGGGAGAUCGCGUCGUAGGGUUUUGGGGGUGUUGGGGUUUGAGGAGGGGGAGUGGGGGGGAGAAACGGAGGAGACGAUCGUGCGAAGUGGAGGCGAACGAACGAGAGGAAACGUGCGCGGAUGCUGCAACAGCGAUAUUCUCGGUGGAUGACGUGGCAUCUGAUCCGAUACAACGCUGAUUCUUUAGCUUUCGUCCUUCUCAAUCUUUACCGUUGGUUUUAUGGGGAUUAAUUUAGUAACGGUGGAUGAGUGGAAAGGAGGAAAAAAGCAAAGCAUAGUGUUGAAAGUUGAAACUGUGGAGCGGAUCCGAGAUACUGCUUAGCUGGAGAGGUGUAGCAGAGAAAUUUCGACGUGGCUUGUAAUCGUUUCGUGGAACUGGUCUACCACGUUAUCAGUGAACCGAGAAUAUAAAUUUCCAAUUUUGGGCUUAUGCGGUCCAUUUUAAAUCUGGGGCGGUCAAUUCGGCCCAUUUACACGAAUACCAGCCCAGUUUCGUAUCCUCUUCUUCAAAAAGGAGGGAAAAUAAUAGCUUCGUGCUUAGAGUGAGUGGUGACAUGGAAUGAAGAAGCUCGAUUUUUUCGUUCCCAUUUUGCCCCUCCUAUCGUCUCCUUCCUCCGUCUCCAAACCCUUCUCCUCCUCCUCCUCCAAAACCCUAACCCUAACCUUAGCCCCGACACCGGCCCCGACCCUCUCGGCCCUCUUCGCCCGCGCCGUCGACCCCUCCUCCGUGGCCUCAUGGAACUCGGCCAUCGCCGACCUCUCCCGCUCCGGCGAUCCCUCCGCCGCUCUCUCCGCGUUCUCCUCCAUGCUCCGCCUCCGCCUCCGCCCCGACCGCUCCUCCCUCCCCCCCGCCCUCCACUCCGCCGCCGCUAUCUCCGCCCUCGGCCCCGGGCGCCAGCUCCACCUCCUCGCCCUCCGCCUCGGCCUCCUCCCAGACCUCUUCGUCGCCUCCUCCCUCGUUCACAUGUACUCCCGCUGCCGCGAGCCCUGCGACGCCCGCGCCGCCUUCGACGAGACCCCACGCCGCAACCCCGUCCUCUGGACCGCCAUGGUCGCCGGCUACGUCCACAACGACCUCCCGCUCCGCGCCCUCUCCCUUUUCCGCUCCUUCCUCGCCGAGGAGGGCCCCACUGCCGUCGACCCCGCCGCGGCCGUCUCGGCCCUCGCGGCCUCGGCUAGGAUUCCCGACAAGCGCAACUCUAAAAUAAUCCAUGCGCUUGCUGUAAAGAUCGGUAUUUGCACGGAUUUAGGAGUUGGGAACACUCUAAUAGACGCAUAUGCUAAAGGAGGGGGUGAUUUGGUUGUCGCCCGUAAGGUGUUCGAUGGAAUGCCUGAGAGGGAUGUGGUGUCGUGGAAUUCCAUGGUAGCAUUGUACGCACAGAACGGGUUGUCAGCGGAGGCGCUGGAGCUGUAUUGUAGGAUGUUGAAUGGUGGAGGGGUGCGGCAUAAUGCAGUCACGUUGUCCGCUGUUCUAUUGGCCUGCGCCCAUGCUGGGGCUUUGCAGACGGGAAAGUGCAUCCAUGAUCAGGUAGGUUCUUUGCUUAGGUCAUGCAUUUUUGGUUUAUGGUUUUGAUCUUUUAGCUUGGUUUUGUUUAUGGGUCUAUGUUUUGAUAUAUUUUAGGCUUGCUAAGGUGAAUAAUAAUUUGUCCGACAUUAAAUCUUUCAGGUGGUAAGGAUGGGUUUGGAGGAAAAUGUAUAUGUGGGCACGUCCAUCGUCGACAUGUAUUGCAAGUGCGGGCGAGUCGAAAUGGCGCGAAAGGCGUUCGACCGCAUGAAGGAAAAGAAUGUCCUGUCAUGGUCGGCCAUGGUUGCCGGUUACGGCAUGCAUGGCCGUGGACAAGAAGCUCUUCAAGUGUAUUCCGAAAUGAGAAAAUCCAGAGUAACUCCCAAUUACAUAACGUUUGUGUCGGUCCUCGCUGCCUGCAGCCAUGCUGGACUUCUUAAAGAAGGCCGUCAUUGGUUCAAUGCCAUGAAAGAAGAAUAUAAUGUAGAUCCUGGCGUCGAGCACUACGGAUGCAUGGUGGACCUUCUUGGUAGAGCAGGUUGCCUUGACGAGGCUUAUGGUUUGAUAACAGGAAUGAAGAUUAAACCUGAUUUUGUAGUGUGGGGGGCUCUUCUUAGUGCAUGCAGAAUUCACAAAAAUGUUAAAUUAGGGGAGAUUUCUGCAAAGAAACUGUUUGAGCUCGACCCGAAGAACUGUGGGUACUAUGUUUUGCUCUCGAAUAUAUAUGCAGAUGCUGGGAGGUGGAAAGAUGUGGAAAGAAUGAGAAUUCUUAUUAAGAAAAGGGGAAUACUGAAGCCACCAGGGUAUAGUUUGGUGGAACUCAAGGGUAAAAUCCAUUGUUUCUUUGUUGGGGACAGGAAGCAUCCUCAGCACAAUGAAAUCUAUGCCUAUUUGGAGAAACUCUUUUUGAAGAUGCAAGAAGCCGGCUACGUUCCGGAUACAGGAUCAGUUUUGCAUGAUGUAGAUGAAGAAGAGAAAGGGACGGUAUUGCGUGUUCAUAGCGAGAAGCUGGCUGUUGCAUUUGCUAUUAUUAAUACAGUUCCUGGAACCGCGAUCCAUGUAAUCAAGAACCUUAGAGUUUGUGGAGAUUGUCAUUCGGCAUUCAAGCUGAUCGCUAAGCUUGUUGAUCGAGAGAUUGUAGUUAGAGACUCACACCGAUUUCAUCAUUUCAAAGAUGGGUUCUGCUCCUGCGGUGAUUAUUGGUGAAAGCAUAUGGUGGACUAGAGCUUCCAUUUUAUCCUAGAUGAUCACAAAGAGUUCUGACUUAGAAUUUGUGAAAUGGGUUAAGACUUAAGAUGGUCAUCUUAUAGGAGAAAGGUUACAUGUAGAGCAUGCCACAUAACCGGUGUCAUUGAUUUUGGACACAAAAAAGGGUCAAGAAUGCUGCUGCAAAAUGUAGGAAAGUUCAGAUAUUGAACUAAAAUUUCUCAAAUGGGUUAAGAUGGUUUUUUUAUGGGGAAAGGGUUACAUGUGGAUCACGAGUUUUAACUUGCGUCAUUGAUUUUGGACACACGAGAGGAUGAAGAAUGCAACUGUCUACUGCAAAAUGUAGGAUAGUUCAGAGGCUAAACCAUUUAAAAUGAAAAAGUUUGAGGCAUGAGGACUACAUGAUUCUGUGCAUUUUACCCACAUUUAUAGGGAGGUUAAUUCUUCCAUGGAGCAUUCUUAUGAAGGAUAGUUAUGGCUAUCAUAAUUUAUUCUUAUUGGUUAAAGUUGAUCUCGGAAGUAUCUUAUUCUUUUGCUGAUGAAAUAAGGACCAGCAGCUGGUCGAUUUUCGCUCUUUAAUGAAGAUUCUCUCAAAUCUGUGAUGGGACAAAUAUAAUGCCAGGUGACUACAGAGUGUAUUUACAUGGGAGUCAUCUUGUGAUUUUUUUGGUUGCUCUAACCGAUUUUGAUAAUGACACACUUAUAUGAGUUAGGGGGGCCAAUUGAUUAAGUUCAGUUGAACAACUGAAAGUGAGACCUAGCAAAGAGCUCCAGGAUUGUGCUCAUUACCGUUGGCGAAAAGGUUAUUCUUUCUACAAGCUACACCUUUUUUAUUUGGUUGAUGUUUUUAGUGAUACAUUCAACGCAUGGAAUAUGGAAAGCUUAAUGCAGACAGUCUUAACUUAUUGGUAGAUUCAAAGUGAAACGCUUAUCAAUAAGUUUUACUUGUUUACAUAACAACGUAUCUUCUUGGGACGAUACUAUAAUGAUGUAUUAUUUGAGGGGAAUAAAAUCUACUGAAAAGUGUCUUUUUUUUAAAAAAAAAAUUGAUGCCACAUUCUUCUUCUUCUUCUUUGCAAUAAUGACAGGUUACUUAUGUAAAUUUUUCUGUAUGAUGCUAAGUGUUCUAGAAGUAUGCAAGAGCUUGCUUGUUGGAGCUGCUGUACAAGUGCUGUUUGAGAUGAGCCAGUCUAAAAGGCUUUCAUAACUUUCAUUGUCCCACUAUACUAUCUAACGGACGCCUUUAACAACUAGAAGCAAAAGCUUUGGGUUGGAGCUUUUUCUUUCAGGACCUAGAAAUCAUCUUGGUUUUGCUUCAACCAAAAGUUUUAAACCAGCCUUCACCAAAUAGACUCUUUAAUCACAUAAUUCCUUAAAGGGUGUAUUCCAUAAAGGGUGAUGCUUGCUAACGGAUCACAUAGAUCAGGUGUGCUACUGUAAACUUUCCUAAUUUGAAACUCUGGUUUAUCUGAUAUCAUUUUGGUAUGUUAGCUUAGUUUUAAUGGAUAUUCUUUUGUUUUAAUUAUUCUUUUUUGCAGGUUUCUUGCACAAACUGCUCAGUUAUCAAUUAAACAACAAUUCGAGCAGAUCAAAAUUCAUAGUAAGGAAAAAGAUAGUAAGUUACCACAAACAUACUUCUUUUUCUUUAUUCUCGUUGAUAAGAAUGCAUCACAGUACUGCACAAUUCAGAGAUGAGAAUUACCUACAUAGUAAUUGUCACAACUAAUCGUAGAAAGGCUUCAAGGAGAACUAAACCAUCUUUCUUUCGAUCUCAUAAGAAGAUUGAGUGGUUGAGGCAACAAGAGGUGCUUUUCAUUACUCUCCCUUUGUCGCCUUCUCCUUUGGUUUGCUCUUCUUGGCCUUCAUGAAGCAGAAGCAUGAGCAACAUGGAGAUUGAAACAAGAACUUCAUUCUAUAGUAGUAGUGGUGGUGGACGAAGUGGUUUCAAUUAUGUAGAAGAAUUUAGUCUUUCUUCACCUUCUUCACCUCCUUUAAAUAAUUAAAUGAUAAAAAUGUAUGGAGACCCCUUCAAUUAUAGGCAUUUUCCAAAAGGUCCCUCAUCUUUUUUUUGAUUGACACCCGGUGGACUUCUUUUUUUUUCUUUUGUUGAAUUAUUCUAGUUAAUUUAAGUCAAUGUAAUUUAUUGAAAGUUGAUCAAAACCAUUAAAUUUAAUAGAAUAGAAUUAUUGAUGAAUUUGAUACAAAUUUUGAUUUGUCUUACUAAAAUCAUUAAUUCAAAUAAAAAAAAAUGAAAGUUAACCAUUCCUUUGUGGGUAGAGGGUAGAGGGGGCCAUUUCAAAACGGGCUAUAGUUGAAGGGGUACCCAUACAUUUUUACCUAAUUAAAUCCACUUGUGCGGAUUCCUUUCCAUCCCACUUUUUCUAAAGAAAGAUGCCAAAGAAUUUGGUCUAGGAGAGUUGGUAUGGACACAAUUUAAAGUCACCUUCACUGUAUUAUAUACUUUGUGGGUCCUGUUUGCCACUGAUAAAAUAUGCUCUGAUAGCUGCAAUUAUUAUUUGUUUAGGACUCUUGGGUUAUAAGCAAAUAAGAGUGAGAGAAAUUAUGUGCUGCUUAAUAAAAUGAAGGAACUUGAUGUAACUGGUUUGAGAUAAAUCAUGUUCCAAGGUAUUAUCCAAUGGUGCCUUUCCUAUCGAAUGUGAUAUUUCUGAGACAAAAAAAGACAGUUGUAACCCACGUAUCUAAGCAGUAAGAACUAGAAUGCCAUGUAUUAAUGUAUGAAUUAUGAAAUUAUAAUACCAAUGAAUAUAUUGUGCUACCAGUCCCUAUACAGUUUGUCAAAUUCAGUCCUUCAUCUCAAACUUUGUGCUUUGUAUAUGUUGCAUUCUUACAUCCGCAUAACAAAUUCAUCAACUAAUUUGUAACUAGACCAUUGGCUGUAACUUAGUUGUAGUAUUGAUUGAAAUAUGUGAUGGGGUUGAUUAUCAAUGGAUGUAUGUUGCAGAGUAGUAUGGAUGCACUCUGUCUAGGCAAUAAUUUUUUCCCAAGUUUGGGGGCAUUCAAUUGUUACCCUCCAAUCAACCAUGCAUGCUUGCUUAGGAAAAGAAAAUUAUGUCACUAGAACUUUUGGUGGAAUUAGAGAAAUGAAUGUCGGUGGAAUGGUUAAUAUGGUUUGUUAGUGUUCAGUUUACGAUGAAUGAUUAGCUAUGAUAUACAAAGAGUUUGCAGGGAAGAGAGGAAGUAACAAGAAAAUGUAAGAAAGCCGAAGUCCCAACUCUUGUUCUUAUAUGAAUACAAUUUUGUGACUAAUUGUACUCUUGUUCUUGAUGACCUGUUGAGGAGUUGAAAAGAGUUACUGUUCCAACUCUCAUGGUAACUGUGGUUAUGGUACUGUUAACCAUGGUUAAGGUGGCGAAUUUGACUAAAUUGAUAUGACGGGCUCUCUAGAGAGACAAAUUUGAUUGAUUUGACUUUUUUCACUGUUUCUUUUAUAGGUAAACUUCUUUCUCACAUAAGUGUAAGAUGGAGAUGUAUGUAAUUAGAUAUAGGCUAGUUAUCUCUACAUCUAUCUCAUUUGGCCGCAUGUUAAGUAGUAUAAUAGGAUAAAAUUAUCUUGUUUAACUGUUGCACUUCUACUAACGUUUAAUUUAAGCGCAGAUCGAGAUACAGUAGAAGAUGGACCUUCAUUUGCAAGUUUAACUGUAGCAUUUUAGUACAAAUGUGAUAAAUCAAGUAGAAUUUUUAGAUUUACAUGCAUUUACCAUUGCAGUGACUAUUGAAACCUUAAACUGCAGGUACUGGGACAACGUGUGAAUUUAAAGUGAAUGCAAAGAGGAUAAUGCUGUAGCAUAGGAAUGGUACAUUAGGAUUCCCUUUGUAGUGGUGUGCAUUUGUUGUGGAAUCAAAUGAUGUCUCAAUUAAUGGUGUGAUGUUGAUGUAGAUGAUGAUGGGCCAAGACAACCACCAUUUCCUAGCCAAAGCUAAGUUUGCGUGGAUAAAGGUGAGCAAUCGCAUGCACAUGUGUAGCUUGCCAUGUGUGACUUUUAGAGAUAGCCUAAUUCCACCUUGUCUCCUAAUAAUAGGGCUAGUUUUGUACCUCCCAUGUAUGAUUGCACUUACUUCAUAAGAAAUUAAUACCAUUUACUGAACCCCUUCACUCUAACAUUGUACUAGACAAUCGCUGCCUUGGACUUCGUUCUCAUUUGAUAUUGCUGUGUGCGCCUUCUAAAAAAAUUAAAAUUGUGUUUGGAUGAGUAAACAUCGGUGUCAUGUGAAAAGAUUUAAUUUUGAAUAAAUGCUUAAAUCUUUUAAUGAACAAAAUUUAAUUUUGAACUUACAAAUACAAUAAAAAAAGUUCUAGUACGAAACAAAGAAUCUGUUACAACUGGAACCCUUUUCAAUUCUCAAAAUGGGCCCUAAAAACAUGCCUUUAAUAACAGUUUAAACUCCCUGCUCCAAAAAAUAUUUUAAAGAUCUUUUUCUCUUUUUUAAAAUUGUCGCCACCUUAAUAUCGUUUGUUUUGAUUUAAUAAUAUCCGUUAAAUGAAUUGGGAAUUCUAUAAAAAUUAACAAUUCAUCCGACUACCGACCCUUAACAAUAACAAAGCCAACAAUUUCACCACUAAAAAGCGAGGAGAUUGGAUAAAUUUGAUAAAACUAUCUUGAAUUUAACUAAAUUUCUUAUCCAUUAUAUCUAAAUAAAUUAUUAUAUGAAAGAGGGAAAAAACCAAAAGCCAAGAAAAAAUAACCCAAUACAUAUUAACCCAAGAAAAAAUAACUAAAACCAAGAGAACAAAAACAAAAAGACGACAUGAUGUCGCACCUACACGCACGCACAGAUACACUCCGAGAGAACGAAAAAGAAUUAAAAAAGAAGGAAAAAUAAAUAAAAAGCAACUCAUAAAAUCUUCCUGCUCACUAAAUUUGCUUGCUCUUUUCCUUCACUCCCAAAUAUUUUUUUUUUUUUUGGGGAUGUGGAACAAAAAGUAGAGAACAUUACAUAACCAUUUCUGUAAUAAUUGGUUUUCCCUUCAAAUGGAAAGGCUCUUCAGCAGUUUUCAUUUGAGACUAGGGUGGGAAAGGAAAGCCACCACCCAUUUUACAACUGGAACAAACAGCAACUGAAGAUAUUGUUCUAAGAUGCCUACAUUUCUUGAUAUAUUGACCAAAUUAACAACUCUUCAGAUGAAACUCUAAAUCCAUAUGCUAGUUAUUAGAUAAUAUGAGCAAGUCUAAGAUUUUUUCAAAAUAAAACCAAGAAGGGCCCGUCAACAAGCACAUCCAGACAUAUGCUAGUUAUUGUAAUAGCAACUUCAGGUAUCUGAAUCCAAUUUCCUUCAAUCAUGUGCUAUGUCUUCUGCAUUUCAAAUAGGAGAAGUUAUGUUAAAAUCCAAAAUAAAUAAAUAAACAAACAAAAAGCUACAAAAUCUGGCUAGACUUGUCUACUCGAACCUUAAAUUCAAGCAUUCGACUACCGAGCUACUAAAAUUGUUUCAUUAUAGCCUUUCCUUCAAAGCCCGUUACGGAAGACUCCAUCAUAACUACCAUAGAUGAUACAUACGGCGGUCGGAUACAUUCUUAUCACUUUAUACAAUGGCACACAAUGGCCGUACAACUCCUUUUUUUUUUUGGCAUUUAUUUUCAUUCUUAGUGUCAAAAAACAUCACAAGUUUGCGAAGGGACAAAUGAUUAAAGGGUAAGUACAUUGGCAUUUUUGCUAGUCCCUCUGAUAAGUUUUGGCCCAAAGGAUUACAAUAAAGCAUUUAGAAGUUCAGGAGCCAAUUGCUUGCAUAUGAAUAAUGGGAGGUGAACAAAUAUUUAGUGAAGAGUUCAUCGACUCUUAAUGUUAUUUACACAAAAGGAGAAAAAGUGGAUGCUUACUUGAGUGGGAAGAUAGAGUUUGAACUCCGGUGGGAGCUCUUCCUCUGAGUAUAGACGAUCGGAGAAGUAUAUUCUUCUCAGGCGGCAGUUUGCGUGGACCUGCACGCGAAGUGUCUCCACAUAAUUUGUUCCGUACGCUCGCCUCGUAAGAUCCGCGAGAUUUAAUUGAAUAUUGUUCCACCCAUCCUCAAGUCGCAGCGGCAUGGUGCAGAUAAAUGGCUUCACCCUUGUUACAGACUGUCAGUAGAGCAGUUGUGUGUCAAAAUUGCAUCAAGUUUUAGAGGCAACUAAAGUUCCAAACAUCCAAUAAUGAGAAACAAAAAUAUGCUUGAAUAUUCUAUAUCCUUUACAACCUUCUCAUCAUGCAAAUACUUAUAACGGCACAUAAACUAGAAUCAAUGAGAUUUAAAUAUUUGAAAUUGCUGCCUAAAUAAUCAGUAAAUCAUUUUCCCUAAUAUUGUUUGUGAGGGAAGAAAAAAAGUUUAACUAACUGAAGAUAUGACCGACCGGUCAUUUGUAAGUAAAUUACUCAAAAACAGAAAGUAAAACUCACGCACCUGAUAAUUUGAUGCUCUGAAACGCCUGCGAACGUUCUUAUCAUCCAAUAUUUGGAUCUCAAAGGUGAAAUAUUUUUUCAGGUUCUUUACAAUCAUCACCAGAAAAGAAAGCUUGAUUCCAAGUGUUGCAGCAGGGUCGGCAGGGCAGGUGAUGUACGUCGAUUGCACAUUCGACCCAAUAAUUUCAAGUACGUUAGACUGGAUGUCUUCGUCCUGUGGCCGUUUAAUAUGCCCAUUAACAACUGCAAUUUCCAAGCGCUUCAGUGACAGAAUCCAUAACAUUCCUAAUAGUGAACUACUAUAUCAAAGAAAUAGAAAUAAAAAACAAUAAAAGAAUGAACACAAAGGCAAAACCUAUGCACCUUCUUUGUCCCAUAUCUGCAAAGGCUUGCUCCUGCGCAAACAGUUCAAAAGCCAGUGACUACAAUUAGGUUACAUUUCACACUGGUAAUUUGCAUAGAGAUGACACAACCGAGAAGUAGCGUACCCAAGGCUAUAAAGGAUGGAUAAGAAGCCUGACUGAAAUGUAUUCUUGAACAUAGCUCCUGUUCACGGCGAUGAAAUCAGAGGAAAGGAGAAAUUAUUUUUUAUCACCAACAUUGAUAAAGUUUGCUCAUAUCGAAAAGAUAUAUGAUUUUGAAUCUUUGAUUCAAACAAGAGUAAAGAAUCACAAAGCAUUUGGACCAUUACAAAUUUUUAUCUACAACAACAUAACAUAUGACAUUAUACAGAAAUAAGGCACAUCAACUCGAACAUUAGAAUUUUUUUUCGGCAACAACAUAGUAUAUAAAAUCAUAAUUAAGAAGACAUAUCAAACUCAGCUUAUUAAAAAUAAGGGAGCAAAAACUCCGCUUAUUCCCUAUCGCAAUUUUCGCCCCAAAAAGCUUAAUUUGAUUUUUUUUUUUUUUUAAAUCACCAAUUAUGCAAAAUUACUAAGUUUGAUCGAAUGCAAACAAGUUCGUUCCGUCCAAAGAGCUUACUUUGGUUCAACAAACCUCACCAACAGACCCAAAGAGACCUUUUUUUUAAUCAAAUCAAGCAUUAUAGGCCAAAAUUGAUACACAAAAAAUAAGUUAGGGAGCUUUUCCGCAUCAAAUCGAAGUUAUUGGGCCACAUCAAGAAGGAAAAUUAGCGAAUUUUUAUGAUUUUGGACUUAAAAUUGUUACAAUCCUCUUGCAGAAACAAAAGCUGGAGAAAAAUUAGGGAGACAACGGGGGAGAGGAGGAGGAAGGGAUCGAGAUGGACCUUAAUGCGGCUAUAAGGAGGCGGAGGCGGAGGCGGAGGCGGAGACGACGAGGGAAUGAGAAGGAGAAGAGGUGCCCUAGAUCCGUUUCUCCUCUCUCUCUCUCUCUCUCUCCUAGGGUUUUUACUCCCUCUCCUCGUCGAAGGCUCGAAGCUCAACGAAGGUUCUGGAGGAUGAAUGGUUCGGGACGGGUUCGGUUCGUUUUGGUACACUUUGGUUCCCGGUCCGGAGCCAAAUUGGGCCUUGGGCCCGUUCUUCGGAAUCCACAACGCAACCUCUUCCUCGGUCCAUAGAGCUUCUCAGCAGUUGCCUGGACCUGGUGCACCACGUCAUCCGUGUGAUCCCGUAGCCAUCAACAAAAAUUCUCAGCAUAUUAGAUAGAUGGACGGUGGAGAUUUAUGGAGGGAUGGGGAUGGAGGGCAAGGGGCUGCUUGGUCCAUAUAUUACGUGGUGUACCAUAUGCAGGCAACUAAUUCCCAGUUGGCCUGGGGAUUAAAACAAAAUGUAUGGAGAUUACCUCAACUUUAAAACUCUCUUUAAAACAAAAUGUAUGGAGAUUACAAUGGCCCUUUCAGCUACAUUUUUUUCCCUUUUUAAUUAAACUCUCUUUAACUCUUAAUUUUCAGAAUUAGGUUAUUUUAUACAAUUAAAAUUACAAAUUUCAUCAAAUUUAUUAAUAAUUCCAUCAAUUUUAAACAACUAAUAAUUAUUAGAUCUGUUAAAUUUAACAAAAUUUUAAAUCUUUACAAAACUAGAUAAACCAUGAGAUCAAUUACUACAUUACAGAACUUAGCAGAGAAAUUCUUCUUAUUUCCAUACACUUAAACAAAAGCAAAGCUUCAUCACAAAUCUACCAGCAACAAUACAUUGUACCACUUCUGCUUUUAGACAAAUUACCCAUAAUCACUUACACCACAUAUAUAUAUAUAUAUAUAUAUAUAUGGCAGUUUCCUAAGUUCUUAAUAUUUAUGAUUUAUUAACAGCCAAACCCCACUUACAUAAGACAAUACCAAGAAAACAGCAACUACUGUCCGAGAAUUUUCCGCUAAUUCGAAGGUUUUCUAGACUGCAGAGAGCUAAAUAAUUCAGACACCAGCAGGAAGCUCCGAUCUGUAACUUCUUAGAAGCAGCAUUCUUCGAGCACACAGCAGCAGCAAAGCGCAGCCAAACUGUAAAACGAACAGAGAAUAGUCAACUUCGAAUCAACUGAAAAGAAACUGUAAGUUCUAGGAUUUGCAAGAGUAAUCGACUAGAGCGAGCGAAAAGUAACGUCGGAGAAUUGAAAGUAAUUCAAUUUAGUGCUGCUGUUAAUAUACAGAAUAUGAUGACCACGAAAACAAAAUUUUUGCAACUGUAAAACAUGUUUCUAGAAAUCUGGUCUAGCGAGGAAAUAAGCUGAUAUGAACAUGAAAAUGAAUCUGAAACACGGUCAGAGAACAAAGUUUGUAGUACUAAAAUGUAGCAAUGGACCAAUCCAGAUAUCAUAUUAUUCAGACAACCCAGGCCAUUGUACCCGAAUUUGACGCAGCAGUUCAGAUAGUUAAAUACAUGAUAGUAACAGCAUAACUUCAAUCCAUUUUAAUCUUUUUGCGCAGAGUCCAGAACCCAUCCUUAUUUCUACCAGUUUUUUUUUACUUUUUUUCUCGCUCUUAUCGGCCGUGAAUCACGCAUAAGCCAAAUUACUCAAAUGCCUCUAUGCAUUCCAAACACGCCCCAUAUCAAGCUAAGAUAACCUAGCCCUAUGUAACCAUCAGUAAUAACAACACACAAAUUUAGAAAAAAAUUUAAAAAAGUUCUUGCGAAUAUCUGAUAUCUGAUAUUUAUUGAUGAAAUCAAUUAACUAGUUUACCCCCUUCUCGAACUAAACACAAAUUACAAGUUUGUGCACCUAAAGAUACUGAGCUUCUAAACAUCCAGCAACCCAAAGGGGAAAAAAAUCAAACAUCCAAAUUGACAACGAGUUCUUGAACUUCAAAAUAUAUGUUAUGAACAAAAGGUAAAAAUGUGUGGAGGCGCCCUCAACUAUAGGUCAAUUUCAAACAGUCUCUUCAGCCAUUUUUCUUUUGAUUGACACCCCCACCAAACUUUUGAUCAAUUCUUUCAUUUUUAAGUUAUCUCCAUCAAUUAAAUCAAAUUGUGUUAUUUUCACUGUUCUGAGCACAUUUUCAAUUUACAGAACUAAAAAUACCGCUGACAAUUAACAACUGAUAGCCAGCAAAAUCAAUAAAUUUUAACAAAUCUUCGAUUCAGUUCACCGAAUAACUCAAAUCAAAACAACUAGUGGUUGAGGGGGCAUCAAUCAAAAGAAUAGUAUUUGAGAGAUUGACGUUGCUUUAUAUUACAUGAAACAAUUGUUUUUCUCUAAAAGCUUAAUCUAGCAUAGAACGGUGAUUUUAUAUUUAUAUAUUUAGCACUUUCCCUCAUGUCUGGCUCGAGACUUUCGUUUAGCCCAUAACAUGGACUUGAAUUAAAUCGUAAACAAUCAAUUAUGCUAAAACAUGGCGGGACUUGAACUCAGAGAUCUUGCUCUGAUAUCAUAUUAAAUAUAAAAUAUAAAAACACUUUGAAUCCGAAAAAGGAGAAAAAGGAGAAGGAAAAAUGCAUGUGAGGUUCAUACCAUCCUUUUAAGAAUGAGGGGCAAAAAUCGUCAUCAUGCCUAUGGCUGUGCUGGUGUAUGUGAGAUUGAGGUGGUGGCGGUGGAGGGUACCCCUCAUAGAAAUACCCUUGGUAACCGGGCGGCGGCGGAGGGUAAGCACCACCGGGCGGCGGCGGAUAAGGCGGCGGAGGAUAAACUCCUCGCGGCGGCGGCGGCGGCGGCGGCGGCAGAGAACCAUAUGGUGGAGGUGGAGCAGGGUAAGGAUGUGACACUCCUGCAUAUGUUAAACCAAAUUGAACUACACAAUACUAAAACUCAUCAUCUAAUAGUUCUUCCUAAAAUGUCGAAUUUUGAUGGAAUUUUCAAUCUAACUUACAACAACAACUCCAAUUAAACAAGAAUAGAUAAUAGGGGAUCUAUUUUGAGUGGAUCUACAUAUAAUUUUGACUAGAUAUCAUAACAACAGGAACUUUACUACUUCAAUAAAGGAAAAGAUGAAAAAGAAAAAAGAAAGGAAAUUGAACAUCUGGAAGCAUCUGCAGGUUUGUAAACUAAUCGAUCUGAAACAAUUUUAUAACUCUACUAGCUUCUUUAACAUUAAGGUAUCGUUUGGUUCGAGGAUAAGCAAAAAGUGGCUAUUCCAGGGAUAGGUAUAAAUUGAGGUAGAAGCAGGGAUUAGAUCAAUUUUGCGUUUGGAUGAAAAUUGGCCUAUUCUUGGGAUUAAAAAAAAUAGCGUUUGGUUAGGUAAGAUAGAAUAAGAAAGAUAGUGGAUUUUUAUAAAUAAAAAAUAAUCAUAUUAUCCUCUUAUUAUAUUGAAAUUUAAAUUUUAAAAUUUCAAACUUUAAAUUUAAGAUCAAAUUUAAAUUUAAUAAAUAUAAAAUAUCAAAUUUUAAAUUUCAAAAUUAAAAUAUCAAAAUUAAAAUUUAUAAUUUAUAAUUUAUAAUUUAAAAUUAUAAACUUUAAUUUUGAGAUUAUAAAUUAUAAAUUUUAAAAAUUUAAAAUUUUAAUUUUUAAAAUUUUAAAAUAAGAAUAGGGGUGGGAACAAUUAAUAAAAAUAAUUUAUUAUAAUAACUUUAUAGAUUUUUUUAAAAAUUCUACUUAAACUUAAAUUUAAUAAAAAGAAUUUAUUAUAAUACUUAAAUAUAAUUUAUUAUAAAUUUUAUUAUAAUAUUUAAAUAUAAAUAAUAUGUAUUAAUAUAGUAUAAUUAAUAAUUUUAUAAUAAAAAUAAUGUAUUAUAAUAUAUAAUAUAUUAUAUUUAUAUGCUUUAGUUUUAAUUCAAUUUAUAAUUUUAAUUAAGUUUGAAAUUAAGCAUUGAAAUAGCGCUAUUCCACCAAAAUGGUGGAAUAACAAAUUCCUUGCUAUCCCGGGAUAAUCGGGAAUAGCAAGGUUUGACCGGGAUAAAAUAUCCCGGCCAGUUUUCAUUCCGUUUGGCGGAAUAGCGGGGAUAACUUUCGUUAUCCCCGCUUAUCCCCCCAACCAAACGGGGCCUAAAUGUUUAGAUCAGCAAACCCUAAUUGACCCCACAAAGCCCAUCAUCUUAAUUUGGACUAAGCAACCCAUGUAGGGCUCAAAUCAAGCAAGCAGUGGCAGAAUCCAAGAGAAUAUCAGAAUAAUUUUAUGUGAGGUAAAAGAUUGUUUCUUUUUCUUUUUCUUUUUCUCUCUUUUUUCUUCUUUUUUUUUUUUUACCUGGUGGAGGGUAGGUUUCCUGAGGGGGAACUUGUUGAUAGCUCAUUUUCUGCUUCUGCUUCUGCUUCUGCUUCUGCUUCCUCUUAUUUUUCUUUUUGGAUUGAGUUUUUCUUGGUUGAGAGGGUGAAUAAAAGGCUUGGAGCAGUACAGCAAUUAAGACUCUUUUGGGGCUUCAGCCAAUAGAUACUUAGCUGUCUCAUGUACUAACUACUAUGUAUUCUACACAAAUUGGCUGGACAUGGACUACCAAGUCAGCUGUGGACCACCAGUUUUGCUGUGGUAUCUCAUCUCACAUAUUAUUGAAUCUCAUCAUUCCAUAUAAUAAUAAGGGUAAAUUCACAAACAAUAAGAUAUGUAAUAUUUUGGUUGUUAAAUUUUACUUUAUUAUAAUUUUUAGCUUAAAUUUUUAUUAUAAUCAAAUCAAAUAAUUUAAUUUAAUUAAUUAAAUUUUAAUUAACUAAAUUAGAUAAUAAAAUUUAAUUAUAAUAAUUUAAAAACUUUAAGUAAAAAGUUUUAAAAAAUUAAAAUUUGAGGUCAAACGUGCAAUUUAUCCAAAUAACAAUGCUUGUCCUACAGUGUUCUAGAGAAGCAGCUUACCAAAUCCCCCAACCCACUCGAGACCUUUCCUCUCCCCACUGCUCGUACCCUCCCCCUUCUUCCGCCACGCCGCGGAAGGGGACGAAACCCUAAGACCACAUCCAAUCCUAGGGUUUCCUCCUCUCCCCUUCUCUCUCUCUCACAGAUCCAUUUCUAGGGUCUCUCCUCGCCUUCCUCUUCGUCGAGAUCCUCGGGUACGGGAGAGAUGCUGGACGUGUCGAGGGUUCAGAAGGAGCUCGCGGAGUGCAACCGCGACCAGGCGAUCUCCGGGGUGGGCAUCGCGCUCUGCGACGGGGGGAGCGACCUCUCCCACCUCACCGGGACCAUCUCCGGCCCCGUCGCCACCCCCUACGAGGGCGGAACCUUCCGCAUCGACAUCCGCUUGCCCGGUUCGGAACUCCGAUCUUUUCCUCCUCUUCAUUUCGUCGGGAUUACUUUCUUUUAGGGUUUCUAUCUUGGUUGUUUGUUUCAUUUCUCCAUGUGGAUUGAUACUGGAAUUAAUGGGUGGAGAGGAUUUGAUUAGUGUGAUGAUGUAGAAGGGUGGGUGUCCAAUUUAGAAAUAAGCAUUCGUGGAACUUUUUAGGUGUUUGUUGAGGGUAUAUCGUCCCUGUUUAGCCAUGCUCCUGCUUAGCAAACAGAAACGUUUGGAGCUUUUGAUGUGGUAGGAAGUUGAAAUGAGAUUCUUUAGCAGCAGCACGGCUAAACAGGCAUGAUAUACCCUCAACAAACACCUAAAAGGUUCCACAAAUGCUUAGAAUAUACUUUACAAUGGUUGAUUGGGUAUGACAGUACCAAAUUUCUAUAUGAAACUGUGGAAUAAAGGCUUGGUCUGUUGCGUAGCAUGCGUUUUAGCACUUCCCCCACCUCCCUCAAAACAACACACACAAAAUUCAUUCCAUCUUAGUGCACAUUUUACUGUUUCUAGCUAAUAGGAUUUGAAGCUUUUCUUUGUAAAAUAAUUGGCAGGUGAUUCUACCAAUAUGGUAGUUGACUGCAUACCUACCUAGUACUUAACUUUUUGAAAAAUGUAAAUUGACCUGUGAAAAUAAAGUUUUGAUUGAAAAUUCAUGAUGUUGAUUUAUUCGUUUGCAGGUGGCUAUCCCUUUGAGCCUCCUAAAAUGCAGUUCAUAACAAAAGUAUGGUAAGGAAAUUAACUCAUUGUGUUUACUUUCCUUGUAAGAAAGGUUUAUGGAUCAUCAUUUAGUUUUUUUUUCCUCAAAAGUUCUCUAUCAUAGGAAUUGUAAUAUACUGCUUGUUACAUGCAGAGUGGACUGGUCAAUAAAGUACUUUGCUCUUCAACUUGCAUGGUUGCUAGACGGUUUAGGAUAGGGAUAUGUUGUUCAGUUAGUUAACAACAAAUGAGAGCCACCGGGGUGAACAUUCUUUUGAUUAGAUUACAAUCCAAUGGCUAAUCUCCAGUUUCUUCUAUCUUGAAAUAUUAAUUUCUUUCCAGAAAUUAUUAGCAUCGCACGUGCAUGAUGUAAUAUGAUUUGGUAAUUUAGCUGGUUUGAGCCAUACAGGAAGCUUUUAUUCAUAAUGUUGGAGUUGACAUUUCAAAUUCAAGAACCUGACUUUGUUUGACAAAGUGGAACAUGAAUUUCUCACCAACUUUUUGUCAUCUUAUUUGUUUGAAAGUUAGCAACAUGGAGCUCUUCUUGGUCAUGCAAUUAGUCAUAUGGAUAGAUGUGCAUGAACCUUCUAACUAUCUAACUAAUAGUUAAUGUAGUGGCUGGCCUAAUGAGAUGUUUUAUUUAACUUUUGUAUGCUGCUUCUUUUCACUCCUAGUCAUCAUUUUUAUGGAAGCUCUGGAAGCAUUGAUAAGGUUCUGAGACGGCAAAUGAUGUUGAUGCAUCUAGACUCAUCUGACCAAAUCAGAAACACUUUUUGUACGCUCCAUCUAGUAUAGUUUUGUUUCAUGACCAUCCAUCUCUUUCCCUAUGUUUGAUUGCCCAUCAAAUCUGCAGCAGCUACUCAUGAUAAGUGAGCCAGUCAUUUUAUAUUGCUGUUGUCUUAGUUGUUAUAUUUAGUCUAACGCAGGUACAGGAACACAUUCUGUUCUCAUUAGUCGUAGCUUAACAUCUUAAACCAACAAAUGUCGUUGCUUGAUGUUUCCAUCAUGUUAUAGUCACUGUUCUGAUCUUCAAGCCAAAGCUAACUGUCGAAUUCAUGCCGUGGAUUAGGUGAUGUAAUUAUUGUCACAUUAUCUUCCAAUCUUGACUUUAUGACUUGCAGUGUGGAGCGGAAGGGGAUGUUCAACUUUUGAUGUUGUAGCUAUUUAGCUGUAAUUGAAGUUUGGUGAGAGUACAGACAUUUGUUCUGCCAUCGAUCAUAUCGAUACUGAGAAGAUUUUCUUCCUGUAGUGUGCUACAUUUUGGAUCUCGCAAAAAAAUAUGACUUCAGAACUUUCCAAGGGGAAGCUGUUUUCCUGUAAGUGAGCCAAUGGCUUGGUAGCAGAUCUCCUUCGCAUCAUCAUGGUCAGGGCUGAACUGAUGUUUUUACUCCCACUAAAACGUCAAUUAUGGCCAAUUGGACUUGCGUCAAUCCAAACGUGCCCUAGGCAAUUAAGUGGGACAGGCUUGGAAGUCCAUGUGGUCUGAUAAUUGAAUGUUAAUAAUGCUCUCAAGAUCCUAGUUAUUAAGCUAGUUUAAAGAGUUUUCUUGAUGGCUGGCAAAGCAUAAUUCUUGUUACUUUCGGUUCCAGUGCUUUGUUAAUUUAGUGAUAGCAAUUGCUCUUGUUGCCCUUAAGUCUAAGCUUGCCAACCAAGAAGUUAUAUUGUCUUGUAUAUUUUGAGGGUUUCCGAAUCUUGCAUGGAUCUUCGUAAUUUAGGAGGAGAAGUAGUUUCUCCUACUAUACACUUGCUUCAAUUAUAGCACUAAUGGGUCUCCAAUACUUUCUCUCUCCAACUGUAUAUUGAAGGCACCCCAACAUCAGUAGUCAAAACGGGGCGAUUUGCUUGGACAUUUUAAAGGAUCAGUGGAGCCCUGCCCUUACUCUGAAGACGGCUCUCCUUUCUGUUCAGGCUCUUCUCUCUUCACCUGAACCUGAUGAUCCCCAGGAUGCUGUAGUGGCUCAGCAGGUAUAAAUCCAAUCUAUCUCAUUUCUUUCCAUUUGAAUAAGCUCUACUGUGAGAUCUUCCCGCAUAUUCUAUAAACUUAACCCCUAAUCUCUGCAUUCUUCUCAUAUUUUGUAGUACUUGAGGGACCAUCAAACGUUCAUUGCUACAGCUCGUUACUGGACCGAGACCUUUGCCAAGAGGAUUUCUGUUGAUAUUGAAGAAAAGGUAUGCACAGUUUAAGUGCUUAUUCGGCCAGACUUCUAGAAUAGCUUCUCUACUCGAAAGAGUUGGAGCUCGUAGAAAGUAGGGCUUUUGGUCAGCAGUCAGUAGUUUUACUGUGAUAGGAAGCUAAAAUAACUUUUUGCGCCCCAGAAGCAACUUUUCAACUUGAAGCUUCUGCUUUAGCUGCAGCAAGUAGCUGCCAACAGGAUUUUAUGAAAAAGCUAUCAGUGCUUCUUUGAACAACUUUGUUUGAAAGCACGUGUCCCCAAAGGCAAACAAGCCCACGGACCUUAACCACAUGGUUACGGUUUCUACUCUUGAGAGCUGCCAUUUCAUGCACAAAAUGUUGAAGGUUUGGAAUGUUACCAAAUACUUCCUCCCAGCGUACCCUACUUUAGCGCGGCCAUAAUGGGUGAUGGGGAUGUUAUUGGCCACCAACAAUAUUUUUAUCAGGUUAAAUAUAGAACUUUCCAACUCCUUCCUGGUGGUGGUCUACAAGAGAGCAACAAACAUGGUGGAAUCAUCUCUCUCUCUCUCUCCCCCCCCCUCUAUUUUUUUUCUUUUUUUUUAUCUGAGUUCAGGUUCAGAAGCUGGUUGAGAUGGGGUUUCCGGAGGAUUUAGUGCGGAGCACGCUGAAGAGCGUCAACGGUGACGAGAACAUGGCCCUCGAAAAGCUAUGCUCGAGCUAAAGCUCCGCUAGUACUGUAAAUGAAAAUUAUGCAUGCUAAUGCACUCUGAAAACCUCAUGCCUUAUUUCAUCCUCUAACUCUUCAUAGUACUAAUCAUGGCGAUAGAUUACGGAAAUUUAAGUUUCUCUUCGCAUGGAGGAGAAGGUGCUUCUUUUAUGUACUACUCUAUGCUUCUUUGUGUACUAUUCAUUUGUAGUUCCCUUUCUCCCCAUAAUUUGAACCCCUAUUUUGUUGUCCAUGGGCAGCGGGCACUCAAAUGAGAAAUCAAAGCAGUAUAUGUGAGGUAAUGGCUUCUUUUCUUUUACUUUGAAUAGCAAUGAUGGUCAUUCUCUUUCCACCAACAAAGUAGGUGCUAUUUGAGAAUGCGUUCUUUCAAACCAAUUGCUUUGAAUUUACCCCUAACACUUCUCGCCGUUGGAAACUCUUGGCUUAAAAGAGUCAACAUUCCGUCUCGUGUCGGAGGCUAAGUUAGGUCGAAUCAUGUUUGAUUUGGUCGGAGGCAAGAUUGGGCCUAGGCACAAUCGUUAAUGGUCAGGGCUAAGGAUCCAACAGGAGUCUCCUAGCAUAUGGAUACUAAUUGAUUGGAGAUUUUCAUCGUUGUUUCAUUGCAUCGAAUGAGUAGAGUUUACUGGAAAAGUGCUUUUGAUUAUUUUGGGUGGCUUUAAAGUGUGAAAACGGUGCGAAUGCAGGCCUUAGAAUGGCUUGGAACACUCAGCACCUAUGUUGGUAUUCUUUUCUCCAACAGUAUCUAAUGUUGUAUAAGUCUGGGAAGAAUUUUAUAUAUCACAUCAAUCUAGCAAAUCGAGUACCCACAAUUUAAAAAUUCGCUCUACAGCAUGUGCGAUCACGUGCAAAAUCUGAAUUUUCUUAUACCCCCUUUGAAGUGCUAAAAUCCAUGUCCUAUGAAGUGGAUCAAAAGUUGAAUACUACGGUCUCCAGGAAGGCCUAUGAAAAUAUGAAUUUUGUAAGGGUGCAUAUUUAAAACUAAAGCCUAGGCAUUUAUCUUCAGUAAGAUAUUUGUCGUGUGGAGUAAACAUCAUGUCUCCAUCUAUUAUAAUAACAACUUGUUUUUCUUGUUUAACUAUAUAUAUAUAUAUAUAGAGAGAGAGAGAGAGAGAGAGAGAGAGAGCUAGGCUGGUAUAAUAUCGGUAACAUGGAGGUCUCCGUACUAUCAAGUUGUUUUCAAUGAUGCGGCUUUUAAAUCGACGAUUGGAUCCGUUAGACAUGCUCUACACUAUUAAAAAUAUUUAAAAAUUAAAUUUCAUAAUUUUUUAACACAUUUACCUAUGAAAUGAGUAGUCUAAAAAUAAACGGCAGGAAAUAAAAAUCUUACAAAAAAUGAUGAAAAAAGACUUGAAUUUAAGAUUGGAGAUACUGAUCUUACUCUAAAUAGUGAAAAAAAAUUUUUAUAAAAAAUUUACCAGAUUUGGAUUAUUUUUCACCGUUAAAUUCACAAACGUAUCACAUCUACCAUUAAAAUUGUCAAUUUUGAGACCUUUUGAUCACUAGUCAAAUGAUGUUGAAAAAUUAUGAAAUUUAAUUUUCAAAUACUUUUAAUAGUGUAGAUCAAGUCUAAUGGAACCGAUCGUUGAUUUGAAAGAUACAUCAUUGAAAACAACUUGAUAGCACGGAAGCCUCCGUCUCCGUACUACCAACAGGAUACUAGCUUAGCACUCUCUCUCUCUCUCUCUCUCUCUCUCUCUCUCUCUCUCUCUAUAUAUAUAUAUAUAAAAUUUUAUGAAGGGUAAGAGAGAAUAAUUGCCCCAGGAAAAAAAGGGAGGGCAAAAUUCUAUCUUGGAAAAGAAAAUGAUGUUUAACCCAGCUAAAUUUAUUAUGUGGAGUAAAAUGUAUAAAAUUAAUCAUAUUCAAUGUAUUCUUCAUCUGCUCAUGGCAGUUCCUGCUUUCUAAAUAAUACAGUGUCCUCAAAGAAAAGGCCCAAAUGGAUCUAACAUAGCAAAGAAGCAAUAAGAUAAUUAAAGAUGAUGUGAUUCUUGCCUCAAGGUAGAGAAAUCCAAAUAUAUGAAGUUUAAAAACACAAGCACACUCUCUCUCUCUAGAGCUCUGGUAAAGUCAUUGAUGAAGGAAGACAAAGCCCACAGGCAGGCUGACCACAGCAUUAAAGCUCAGCUUUAUGUCACUGCAUUUGGUCUUUCCUUCCCUAUUUCUCCACAUUCAUUUGCAUUGAAUGGCCUGCCCCUUGCAGUGCACCUCCCCAGUCCCUACUCUCAUUCUCUCUCCCUGACUCACUACUGGUUCUCCCCUGAGAAGCCAAUAAACUGCCUGUGCAUUGCUCAUUAAUGUUCUGACACAUCACAUUUCCUCCGCAUUGUGUGUGUGUGUUGUUCCAUUCCCCUUCUUAUCUGCUGUAAGUAUGCUCUACAAGAAAGAAAUUUAAGUACAUAAGUAGGGAGGUGAAAACCAUGAAUUUCAAGCAUUGACUCUUUCAUUUUGCUAGGUAUUAGGUAAGGAAACAUUUGGACAUAAAUGAGAAGAUCAUUGUGACAUAAGACCCCAUCAAUCCUAAGCUACUAUCCUAUUACAACCAUAUGAAAAAAUUACCACAACUAAGAAGCUAGAUAAACAAAACUUGGUUAUAUUUCAAGUCAAAGGCAAAGAAAAAGACAGAGGGAGAGAAUAAUGCAGUUACACAACAUGGAUGCCUCAUGCUUCUUGUAUGCUUCUCUGAUCUGCAGCAAAAUCACCACAUAAGUACACAAAUACUUAGAGAGUUGAUCAGUAGUUACAUGAUGGAGAUAUGACAAAAAGACAACAAACCCCCCUGGAAAGACCAUCAUAACCUCAAAGACCCAUGAAUCCCAAAAUCCAUAAAUCUUAUAGGCCAAACAGUAAAAUCACCAUUCAAAUACAUAAAAUUGGCUCCUUGUUUGUAAACCUCUUCCCUCCUCAUCACAACUGGAGACUCUUGAGCUUGGAAGAGGCAUCUGAGGUCUCUCCUCCCCCUCUUUCCCGGCCAUUGUAGUAGUAGUAUUAGUAUUACUCACCGGAGUGCGCAUCGGCGGCGAAGCGCAUACGGGGAUCACCGACCGCACGUUCACGGCCGGGGCCAUCCCAGCCGCGCGAUAUCCACCGCUGGAGAUCACACCUGGGACUUGAAUUGCCUUGCAAUCCCCCAAACAAGGGGCCUUGAUUGAAGUAUGGCUAAAUGUGCUAGCACUUUGAUCCAAAACUCUAAUGAACUUAGGAAGUGCUUUUGCAACAAGCUUUUCUCCUUUAUCCUUGUUUGCCUCCUCAAAGAGAGAACUGUGGGGAAUUGGCGUAGGGAUAGGUGAAAUAUUGUUCUUAUUGUCCUUGGAUUGGGGCAGUAUUGGUGGGAGCACAGGGGGAGCCAAGAUGCGUAUGUUUGGUGGAUGUGGGUGUGUUGGGUGGAUUGAAGAAGCUUCAGAUGAAGGUUCCAGUGGUUUCCAUGAAUGUUUAUAGGAUGAGGAAGUAGUAGUAGUAGUAGUAGUAGCAAUAGUACUACUUGUGGAAGUGUUUAAGAUCUCUCUCCUCUUGUGGUGUUGAGACAUGCUCCUUGGCUUCAUUGGCUUGGCCUCCUCCUUGGGCUUGAAAUUUGAGAGCACCCUCUCUACAACCACAUGUUCUUGCUCUUCACUGCACUCAGUAGACUCCUUUUUCUCUUGAUUGGAACAAGAACCCAAAUCUGGCACUGGAAAAAAAAAAAAAAAAAACAAAUCAUAUGUCUGUGCAAAAUUUGAGUUCAAAUUGGAGAGUUCAAAGUUAAAACAAUGAGAAAAAAAACUAACUAAAAAAAGAGGAAAACUUCAAUUUCCAGAGUCCAAAAGAGGGACAAAACCAUAUAAUAAGAAAAGAGUAAUAACUACUCUUAAAAGAAGUUAAAAAGAAGAAGUGCUUUUAGUAAGGGCUUUCUUUCUUGUCCCCCAAAGAAAUUUACUUUGCUUGAGAGCAGUCCAGGCAGCCAGUGCAGCAUUCUUCUCUGCCUGCUUCUUGGUCUUUGCCGAGUCACCGGUGAAUGUCCAGCCUGCAAUCUCCACAGUGCUGGUGAAGAUGGGCUGGUGGCCUGGCCCUGACCUCACUGUUGUGUAGAGAGGCAGCUUCAGCCCUGCUCUAUGUGCUGUUUCUUGCAGCAGGUUCUUGUACACCCCAGUCUCAUCCUACAAACAAGUAAAAUUGAGAUGGCUAUUGUAUUAUUCUUGGAUGAAGUGUUAUCUGACUAAUACUUUUAGAAGAAUCAUUAUGUUAGAAUUCUCCGCGGAAUUCUUUGUACAGUAUUACAGUCUCCACUUUUAGCCAAACAGAUAUAACCAUACUUUUCUAUAUCCAAAUGUCACAAGUUGUACUACGUACGAACUGAUGAUCGUGACGGUUGCUGAAAGUAGAAGCAGAAGUGUGUCUUGCAUGUAAGUAUAGGUAUGUAGACUUACGAGGACGCGGGCGGCGAGGGAGGUGGAGGGGGCGCGGACGGAGAGGUUGGAGAGGGCGACCUCGGCGGCGGCGUGCUCGGCCUGGCGGAGGGUGGUGCAAUUGCUGGGCCCGACGAAGACCUCGCCGUUGAAGUUGACGGACGCCUUGAACCGCGGCGCGUGGUCCGGCCCUUCCCUCACGCAUGCAUACGACGGCAGGCUGAAGCAGCUCCUCUGCGCCAGCUCCUGCAGCUGGUUCUUGUACAUCCCUCCCUCCCUCCCUCCCUCCCUCCCUCCGUGUCCCUACGCUGCAGAUUGCGUUACGUGCGGUAAAAAUUUAUGACGAAAGAAAACAUCUCGUUUAUUUCCGAAAGUUGAUAUCAUAUUGUGCGUAUAGCAAUGAAUAUGAUAAAAUAUCUCGAUAUUUUUCACGCAACUGUUGUUCACUUGAUAGCGCUAAACAGGUCUCAAUACCAAGCGGCCGACCCUUCAACUUUUCAAGACAAAUGAUUAUUUUUUAUACGGUGUCAGAGAUUCUAAUCUUUAAAUCUCACCAGACUCAUGCUUCAGUUUUCACUAAUUGCGUAAAAAAUUGUAAUCGAAUUACAAGAGAAAAAAACAUCAUGUACAAAAUUAUUACGAAGGAACCACAGCAUGGCUCAAAUCGAAAAAACUAAAAGCCAAAAGUUCAAGAGAGUUAAAAAAAAAAAAAAAAAUGUAGUAUAUGUAUGUGGGAAACAUAGGCCCGUUAUUUCUAAAAACUAAAGCUACGGUAUUAACCAUUUAUAGACGAUACUUUUUAUUUUGAAAUACUAAACUACAUAAAUAAAUAAACAGAAGAUGAGAUAUAACAGUAUCUACUUAAAAAUUUUGAAAAAAACAGUAUUUCUACUCAUUUAGAUAUUAGGAUGUGGAUUAACAAACAAACCCAAAGCAAGAACAAUCAUACAAACAUAAAGCACAACUAAUUCAUGGCACAAAAGAAGGGGACAAAAAAAAAAGAAAGAGAGAAAAUGAUCAACUUAAGUUGCAUAAAAAGAGCAACCCAGUGGUGGAAUAUGAACAAAAAUGGAGUACUCACCUUUUGAAAAAGUAACUAGAUUGGAGAGAUAAAGUAUGUGUAGCUCUCUCUCUCUCUCUCUCUCUCUUAAGAGCUUAUGGGCUUCAUGAUGAAAGAGAAAGAGAGAAUGAAUGGUGGUUUGGUUGUUUUGGAUUGGGAGAUACAUACAACAACACUACUCUUUUGUUUGAGUUCUCAUAUCUCAAUGGGAGGAGGAGAAGGAGAUUUGUGAAUUGUGAUUAUUAUUUAAGGGGUCUCUUUUUCUUUUUCUUUUUCUUUUUCUUUUUUUUUUCCCUUUUUUUUUAUUUUACUGUUCUCUGGGGUUCUGUAUUUAAGCAGCACUGUUUCCAAUUAGAGCACUGGUCUCUAGUAAUAGAUGUAGAGACUCAUUAGAUAUUCAUGCACCCAGUGUAUCAUGCACUACACUUUUAAAAUUGUCGCGCCAAUAAUAUUUACCAAAACAAAUAUGCCGAACGAUUCAUUUUAUCACACCAAUUCUAUCAUAUUCUUAAUAAUUUUUUACUAUUAAAAUCUCAAUAAUUGUAUAAAUUUUUGGAUCUUAUCUAUAAAACCAAAUAGUAAUUUUAUACAAUUUUAAUCUUAUAGCAGUUCUAAUUUGGUUCUAAAAUUAGACAUUAUAUGAGUUAUUUUAAUGUUGUAGAUCAUUAUUGUUGGAUUAGAUCUUAAUUUUAAAAAUAAAAAUAUAGGUUAAGAUCAAUUAUUACAUAUGGUCCAUGUUAUGUACGGAUACACCAGGUGCAGGGAACAACUUCUGUGAGCCAACCCACCCCUAGGCCAUUAAUGGGCAUUUAUUGUGGCAUUUAUAAGCAUUUUUGUAGCGUAGCUUUCGAUAGCCCGUUAUCUUACGACUCUGACAAGUGGGUCCCACUUUGCUCGGCCACACACGUGGCGCUGAACAGUUGGCUCUGAUACACCCGCCCGGGACCCACGUGUCAGAGAUUGCGUACAACUCCAAUCGUGGAAUUCCACGCACAGGGUCGAUCCUACCGGUAAUUAGCAGAAGGGUUAAUCAGUACCGUCCAAUCUUGACGGUGAGGAUCAACUCCUUUACUGAUAAGCGGCGAGAUCACCCUUCGUAUGUAACGAUUUGUACAUACAUAGUUGUAGGAAAUCCGGGUCCGCCCUUCGAUGUGUAACUGUCCACAACAGUGAUGAACGGUCACGAGAUUCCUCUUAAUGCAACGGUUACACCAAUUACACACCAACCAAUCAGAUUGCGCCAUUACUCUACUCCCUACACAAUCAUGGAAAAAAAAAUAAAAAAAAAUUAUAUAUAUAUAUAUAUAAUAACUACACUCUGUAUAUUUCAUGUGAAUAAACUAAAUAUUUUUUAAAAUAUUUCAUUUUAUUAUUUUAUUGCCAAUAAUUUUAUUAAUUUUGAUUUAUUUCAAAGAAAUAGUAAGAAUUCGACAAAUAAAAUCUUUUAAGAUUUCGUGGUCCAAAAUCUAUUUCCUAAUUCAAAUUAAAUAAUUCACUGGUCGAAUAAAAUAGAUAAAAUAAAUAAUUUCUAUGACAAUCAUUCUUUAACUACUAAAAUAAUCAUAAUUCAUAGAUUUUAAAAAAAAAAACAUUUUUAAUAAAC
rnacentral:lncRNA from 1 species